UGAAAAGUCGCUUAAUCCAACGACUAAAAUCUGUCGGGACCAUCUUUCGGAACCAAUCUCUCGAAUCAUUAGUCUGGUUGCUCGUUAUCUUGUGUUAAUUUAAAGAGGCCCAUUAUCUUAAACUGCCCUCCUCACAAAUAUGCUGACAUAUUGAUGAUGGCACCUUAUGAUGAUUUUAUGAUCACACAUUUGGUAAUUUUAUGAACAAAAAUAAUAAAAGUUUACGCAAUCAUCUGAAUGGAUAAUUUGGGUAGAUAAUUUGAAGUGAUUUAUAUUUAAGUAUAUAUUUAGUUUCAAAUCUUAUUUAGAUUUUUAAAUCAGAAAAUAUUUGAAAUGAUUUUAUAAAACCACCUUGUAAGCUUGAACAAAAUGGUUGCUCGUUAUCUUGUGUUAAUUUAAAGAGGCCCAUUAUCUUAAACUGCCCUCCUCACAAAUAUGCUGACAUAUUGAUGAUGGCACCUUAUGAUGAUUUUAUGAUCACACAUUUGGUAAUUUUAUGAACAAAAAUAAUAAAAGUUUACGCAAUCAUCUGAAUGGAUAAUUUGGGUAGAUAAUUUGAAGUGAUUUAUAUUUAAGUAUAUAUUUAGUUUCAAAUCUUAUUUAGAUUUUUAAAUCAGAAAAUAUUUGAACCGCUCUUCCGAUCUCACCUUGUAAGCUUGAACAAAAUUAUGUAGGUGAUUUCACAUACUCAGAGGGGUAGAAAUAUCUGAGGGGUGAUUUGGAAAAUUUGACUUUUAUUUGAUGCCAUAAGAAAUUAAGGAUCAAGGUCCAUCAUACUAAUCCGAAUACAAAUUGGUCAGUUAAUCAANNNNNNNNNNNNNNNNNNNNNNNNNNNNNNNNNNNNNNNNNNNNNNNNNNNNNNNNNNNNNNNNNNNNNNNNNNNNUGGCAUAAUGUAAAAUUCGGUGUUUGAUUUGAUUUCGAUAAUUAUCGAAUUACCGGAAAAACUUUGUAAUUAAAAAGAAAGAACUAAUCAUAUCUCAAAUAAUUUCCAAUCAAUAUUUAUUUCGAUAUUUUUUUUGUUAUUUUCGGUAUUUUGUUGGUAUGUUUUGUGUUGAUUUGGUUUUUGGUAACCAAACAGCAAUACAUAGCGCUUGUUCAGCUGUUCGGUAAUUAUUGAUAUCGUACCGAAAUUUUCAGUAUUGGUAACAGUAAUUAUCGAAAAUAUUUUGGUUGGGAAGUGGAUCCCAAAUUGAUCUGAUUUUCAAUAUUCGGUAAUACCGUGCCGAUCUGAUACAAGUAUCUUGCAACUUUACAAAAUUGUGCUUAAUUCCCAGAACUGAAGAGGGUCAAAUUAAUCUCCUACUCUAUGAAAAUUGAUUCAGUGACUUUAUGUACUGGUAUGCCAAUUGCUCUGCCCCGUUAGUGUUCAUGGUAAUCCCUCAAUCUCCCCAGCUUGGACCAACAUAUCGUACCAAAAAUCCACAGAGUCGCCGAUUCCCGGAACAACCCCGCCGCCGGUACUCCCUUCCACAGUGCUCAGCUCCCAAAAGUCCGAGAAAUUAAUUUGGGUAUCAUCAAAUUGCAUAUUCACCCAUUCCUCCGUUUGCGAUGGAUCCGACCACAAGUCGUCGUCGAUGAUCGGGAAAUCAUCUAGCGACGUCGGCGAAGGUAACUCCACAUAAUUGCUCGUCUCCGCCGUGGCGAGGGAGUUGUCGGCGGUGACCGACGAAACUGCGGCGCCGCUGCUCGUACUGGUGCCGAAUGACAACUGAUCAGGCGACAGAGGCGCGUAACUCUGCUUCUGGGUUUCAGCAGAUUGCUGCUUCCCUUGGUUAUUAUUUUGAUUCAAUCUUUUCUUCAAAUGGGUGUGCCAAACAUUCUUGAUCUCGUUGUCUGUUCUCCCUGGUAAUUCCGCUGCAAUUGCUGACCACCUUUCAGAUUCAAAAAAAGAAGAAGCCAGAUUUAGCAAGCGAUUGGAUAGACUUUUAAACCCAUUUCGUCAAUUUCCAGAAACAUGAGAUGGAUGAAAGCGAUUAAGUACCUGUUUCCGAGAGAGUGAUGGAGGCGGAUAAUGAUGUCUUCUUCAUCCCUAGUGAAGUUGCCUCUCUUGAUAUUAGGGUUGAGGUAGUUGAUCCAUCGGAGACGGCAGCUCUUGCCACACCUCAAAAGGCCAGCAAGCUUAGGGAGAGCCCGCCAGUUUGGAUGGCCGUGGUUUUGAAUGUAGCAAGUGAGGAGUUGAUCUUCUUGAGGAGUCCAUGGACCUCUCUUCAGUCCCUUCUUCUCGCAGCAUGGAGCUCUCACCAUCCUUAACAAUUUCUUUCUUCUUCUUCUUCUUCUUCUAUCUGUGUGUCUAGUUAAUGGUUGAAGUAGUAAGCAAAAGAGAGAUUGAUUGGUGUAGAUGUCAAGUGCAUUUGGGAUGUUGAAUUAGACGAAUUUCAAGUAUUUAUAGAUGGGGUGGGAAAUAGAUGGUCAGCACCCACGAGUGGAUUUGGGUUGAAAAGUCUACCCAAACAAACGCAAUGAACAUCCCCACUUUUGUUUUAAAUUCAAAAUCAAAUGUGUCGGUUGUCUUCUUCCUAAAACCGUUCAACGUUGGCCCCUGUAGGGUAACUUCCACGAACCAAAUACUGCACUUCACAUUUGCUGCCUCCCAUCAUCUCCCCUCUGGCUUCUCAUACCCGGCCCAUUACAUUAUUUACUUGUACAAAUCUCGGAAAUAUCGAUAUUCUCAACAUUAAAAAUAUAAUAAAAUGUAAUAAAAAAUAUACCGAUAUUUUUAAAUACCAAAUAUAUUUAUUUUACAACUAGAUCAUUCUCUUUCCCGUUUCAUUAAAUAAUGGUUAUAAUGUCAGAUGAUGAUUCAUUGACAUGUGAAAAAAGCUUUGGUAUUGAACUAUAUGAUGUUUUCAAGUUUUGUUUGUAUAUAACCAAGUCUUCAAUUGGAAAUCAAGAAUAUUGCCAUGAUGAUCGAUUCACUUUGUAAUUGCCGGAAGGAGUACUAGUACUAAUUUUGGAAUUGCACUAGGCAUAAUGGUAGUAAAACGAUUGGAAUGCACGAUAUGCAACAAUACAUUCAAUUGUGUGUAAACAAUUCAUACCUCACGGUGGUUUGUUUUAUGAUUUUCAUAAUAAUAUUAUAUGUUAAAUNNNNNNNNNNNNNNNNNNNNNNNNNNNNNNNNNNNNNNNNNNNNNNNNNNNNNNNNNNNNNNNNNNNNNNNNNNNNNNNNNNNNNNNNNNNNNNNNNNNNNNNNNNNNNNNNNNNNNNNNNNNNNNNNNNNNNNNNNNNNNNNNNNNNNNNNNNNNNNNNNNNNNNNNNNNNNNNNNNNNNNNNNNNNNNNNNNNNNNNNNNNNNNNNNNNNNNNNNNNNNNNNNNNNNNNNNNNNNNNNNNNNNNNNNNNNNNNNNNNNNNNNNNNNNNNNNNNNNNNNNNNNNNNNNNNNNNNNNNNNNNNNNNNNNNNNNNNNNNNNNNNNNNNNNNNNNNNNNNNNNNNNNNNNNNNNNNNNNNNNNNNNNNNNNNNNNNNNNNNNNNNNNNNNNNNNNNNNNNNNNNNNNNNNNNNNNNNNNNNNNNNNNNNNNNNNNNNNNNNNNNNNNNNNNNNNNNNNNNNNNNNNNNNNNNNNNNNNNNNNNNNNNNNNNNNNNNNNNNNNNNNNNNNNNNNNNNNNNNNNNNNNNNNNNNNNNNNNNNNNNNNNNNNNNNNNNNNNNNNNNNNNNNNNNNNNNNNNNNNNNNNNNNNNNNNNNNNNNNNNNNNNNNNNNNNNNNNNNNNNNNNNNNNNNNNNNNNNNNNNNNNNNNNNNNNNNNNNNNNNNNNNNNNNNNNNNNNNNNNNNNNNNNNNNNNNNNNNNNNNNNNNNNNNNNNNNNNNNNNNNNNNNNNNNNNNNNNNNNNNNNNNNNNNNNNNNNNNNNNNNNNUAUUAGAAACUCUAAAGUUCUGGUCACUGGAAAAUUGCCGUUUUAUUUUUGUUAUGUGUUCUUAUUUUUAUUAUUCCGAGUUUUCAAGAGUUUCAUUUUUGUUAUUUUACGGGUAUAAAUAAAAGGAUUUAUGUGGUUACUUUUAGUUACAAAACAUAAUUUAUAGGUUGAAUUUUGCUCUAAGGGCAACAAUUUCCAUACUACUCAACACAAGUCAACUGUGUUGAUUUCCAUCUAUGAUGUAUGCUCUUGAUUCGUUCCUCUUUUUUUUUUUUUUAUUUUUUUUUUUUGUUUUUUUAUUAUGAUUUGAGUUUUUUGAUUGUAUGAUCUCGAAUAAUAUUGAUUCUUGUCAAAAUGUAUUAAUAUUGAUUAUUGUCAUUUGACAUAGCAAUAAAAUAAUUAAAAUAUUGAUUCGUGUCAAAAUGUAUUAAUUCAAAUCAAAGAAGUUUUAUCGCCAAUUAUAAUAAAACCAGAUAGCAUAACACAUUCAAACCGUAUCAGCCAAGUAUUUUAGCGCAUUGAGCGUAAAGGCCAAAUAAAGAAGAUGAGUUAAUUAGCGCGUGGGUUAGUAGAUAUGACAUAACCUUUGAUUUGAUCCCUUCAAAAGUAAAGCUCGCAAAGAAAUAAUUAAUAUUACGUGAAAAUAAUAAUACUGUCGGAAGCAGUUAUCUUACCUGGUAAUUAAAUUAAAUGAACAUCCGAAGUAGAGAUCUACACUCUUUGGGGGAAGCAUUCAUCAUCUUUAACUGAAAUUGCUGAAAUAUUCAAACUAAAAUUNNNNNNNNNNNNNNNNNNNNNNNNNNNNNNNNNNNNNNNNNNNNNNNNNNNNNNNNNNNNNNNNNNNNNNNNNNNNNNAUAAAAAAAAAAUAAAAAAAAAAAAUUAAGCAGCCCUGCCCGAACCCGAUUGCAAAUCGGUUGCCGGUGAAGAUCCGGCAAUAACUAAUUGACUGUAUAAACAUCUACUAUAAUUAAGCUUAACUAGUGUAAAAUGCACCGGAUGUCACCUAUGUUUGGCUUGCAGUGCAUAUUAAUCAUCGAUAAUUCAAUAUUUUAUCUGAACAAUUAAUACCACUUAAGUUUAACUUUAUUAUCACUGAUUAAUUUUUUCGUUUAUCAUCCUCGUCGAAGAAUUAAAUUUACGGCUCAAACCUUUUCAAACAAUGUUCAAACGAGGGUGUUUGAUUUUUUGUAAUGUCUAGAACAAGUUACAUUAAAUUAUCCAUAUAUGAAGAUUUAGUAAGAACUCUAAAAACUACGACUAUAGCUAAAGUUAAAGAUUGCAAAAAUCUAUUAUUUAUAAUUUUUAUAGGUAACUGUAUGAACAAACCGCUCCCUCAACCGCCUUGCCAACUGCUUUAUGACUAUGGCUAAAUUAGUUGCAGAGAAUGUAAGAUUUAUAUUUUUCAAAGGUAACUGUUUGGAGAGAUUAAAUUGUUUCCUCAUCGGCCUUGCCAACUGCUUUGGUGAUAGUUUUUACUGAUGACAUCCUCUGAUCACCAGGGGGGAGACGAUCCUCCUUAUUGAUGAUGAUGAUGAUUCGAAUUCGAUGACCUCCUCCUCUAAUGGGGUGUGUUGGUGAUCGGAAUCAAUCGACAAACACCCACGCUUUUUCUACCGUUCAACGAAACAUGCAGAAACAUAAAGACGGAAACAAAAGAGAAUACUUGAGUUUGGUAACACAGUUCGGUGACUAACCACCUACCGGUGGAGUUGGUGUAGGACUGGGAUGGGUAUUUGGCACUGAGAACAACGACAACAAUAAGAAGAGUAAUGUCACGUCUCACGAGUGAUUCCCUAAAGCACAGUUUAAUUUUGUAAGCCUCUUGUGUAUCUCUGAGAUAUGGAAUUAAUCUCUAAGUUAGUAGCUAGAGAGCCGUCAUAAUUAUUCCAGAUGUUAACUAAAACGUUUCUAAGCUGCUACUUUGCUUGUGAACAUUAAGUUCCUUUUGAUUUCAAGUAGGUCAGUCAAACUGUUAACAUAUUUACCUAAAUGACAAAAAUAAAUCGAAACAAAAUAUCAAAAUAAUAAAGUGGUGAGUUUGUAAAAAUAUUUUGAAGUUUGGGAUCAUAUUGGCACGUGUAAUUAACUUUUUUUUAUUAUAAAUAUGUGUAAUUAACUUUAAAUUACAUUUAUUUUCAACCGUCAAGAUCAAUUAGUUAAAAUGAGCGUUUACGAUGAAUCUACAUGAAAUGACUAACUCUACAUCCCAUUAAAUGUCCAACUGCCAGGCGCUUCACUGAAAACAUCAUGCACUUGUAACCCGAACAGCAAUGAGCUCUAUGACAUAGGGAUCAAUGUAGAUAAGUCGCCCAGUACCCUACGGCUCGACCAACGAUCCAUCAACAUUGAUCUUGAGAUGCAGAGGGUCGGGGGUGCCCAAACAAUCAAUAUCGCAGAAAGAAUAGCAGCUACCAGCGCCAAGGAGGACGAGGGAAGCAAAUCUGACUCUGAGACUUGGCAGAGGAACUGGCGAAGUAGCACAUGAGGUUGCAACUGGCGGAGCUCAAGAACAACCAAGCUCAGAGACUUCCAAAUGUCCCACAACGAAAGGAUAAAGCGGGGGGCCAUGGUCAGGCGAAGAGGACAUUAGGGACCUCCAGACCAUGGCAGGAUGUAAGGCGAAGGAAGGAGCAAAUAUUCUGGAGCCCGGCAAGAGCCGUAAGACGUAGCGCCAGUGGGCAUUCAAAGAGUAAGUGUUCAACUGACUCCUCUGCGAACAAGCAGACUGGACAGAAAGCAUCCACGUCAAUGUGCCUGUGACGGAGGGCCUGGCCAGCUAGAUCAUGGAUUUGUACACUUGAAUCUAGGAUUUUCUUCACAUUACUGCGAACUGCCAGAUUAUUUGUAUCAUACAUAGAGUUACAACACAUCAGUGGAUCACUCUCCGUAAGUUACAGUGCUACAAUUAUUAUUAUGUUGAUGAAUAUGCUACAAUUAUUUAACUUACACUGAAUUAUAGCUUUGUUCUUUUAGAUCAUGCGAGCCUUCAAGCAAUUACCUGAAGGGGUCAUAAGGGCUCAUCUUCAUCGUCGAAUUCUGCUUCACUUGAUGGCCUCAGUUUCUUUACAUCUCUAGGUCCUGCUGAUGUUCUUCCCUUCUUCGGCUUCCCCCUGACGAAAAGGAUUUACAGCAAUUCCAUAAGCUAUCAUUUCAUACUACUGAAAUGUGGAAAAUCUACAUAGAUAUUUCAGUUUCUAGCGAAGAUAAAGUAUUCUUAAAACUGAAAUAUACUUACUGCCCAUUUGUUGGCAAGCUUCCGCCUUUAGCCCUCCCAAAACCUACAUCAGUUCUUCCAUCUGUAACGAUUGGACAAAACAAAACUUCUCAGUUCAUUGGAGAUCAUAAAACGCCACUCAUCCAGUCUUUCCAAAUAGAUUCAAGUUGUAUCAAAUGGUCCUUUGACAUGCUUGGCUUAACUUGUUUCUUAUCAAUGAUCCAACAAUUGCAUGAAAGUUUUCUAGAUGGCAAGAAUAUCGUGAAAGAAAAAUUAAAACAUACCAUCACGGCCAACCCCAAUUUCCUCAGCCUGAAGAUCAAGAAAACAAGUUUUCAUAAGUAAUAUUGCAGAAGAAUUAAGAUAUUGCAAGUCUAAUAAUAGCUAUUCUCCGUGUGCCUUGUUUGGAAAUGUAGAAUGCACAUAAGGAAUUCGAACUUUCAUUACUGUAACCGUAGUGUAGGCUUUGAAAGCACUUGUAAGUGAUUCCCUGAAGUAUUUGAGAAUAUCCAUUCUCUGCAAUUCAAUCCAUAGGCCAUAGAUAUCCCAUUCCUAACAAUUGUAACUUGGGCACAACUUUAGUUCUUACUAGCAAUUUAAACUAAGCUGAGAAAAGCAUCAUGUGAGCUCCCAGCUGAGAUAUGCCGAGUGCAGUUAAUAACAACACAUGACAAUUGAGGACUUCAAAUUUCAAUGCAGCUAACAAGUCCAAUUAAAAAUACAGAGACCUCCCACUGAUUUGGAAAUCUAAAACUUACUGCUGGUGACGUAACUGACGACAACGAGAAGAGUCUGUCUUCUGGCAGAAGUUUCCUAGAUCUCUUUAAGCUGCAAAAUCCAUUAAAUUGGUGCAUUAGUCCAACCAAAAACACUGUAGAAAGUUGCAGUCCAGUCCAGUUCUACAUUAACUGCUACUUCCUAACCUUUCCAAAAGAUUGAUACAUAAAGGAAUUUAGCCUAGAGAACUCUUUGCACAGUAAACAACAUUAGCCAAACCCAUAAAGUAUUACUUGGAUGAAUUCUUUGAAGAAGACAGAAACCCCUCAAACCCUUUAAGCAUAUUCCCGAAAUGACUUGAAUCUUGCAAGUAGCUGGUUUCAUACUCGUACACCUGCAGGUCAAACAGCACAAAUUGCUAAAGCCCAGCUCCAUAAAAACAGGCCGAUAAAACAAAAAUCCAGGAAUCGGGACCUGUUUCUCGAUGCUUCGGAGCUCCUCCUGUAGCUUAUCUCGCUUUGCUACGAGGGAAGAGAGCAUGGCCGCAGGAUUCGGACCAGCUUUCUGCCCCGAAGGCAUAAUUUGAAUCGAGGAAUCCGGCGAAGGUACACUUCAGAUCCCCAAAAUGGCGGGGAAUUUGAAAUCUCGGAGACGAUAAGGUCAGACAAGAUUGAGAAGAGAUUAAUUUGGAAAAAAGAAUAUGCUUGUGGAGAAAUCUGCCAAGGCAAAUGAACCUUUUAAAUUGAUAAACAAUCUUUAGCAGGAAGGCGCGGCAAAGGUGAAGGAAUUUGGUGUUAUUUUUUCAAAAUUAAACCAUGGCUGCUUACUGUUCGUUGGGCUACGUCUGGGAAAGCGCAAUAAUGGAUGCGGGCAAGGCAACACAAGAUAACGUGUUAGCAUUUGUCGACAAAAAGUAGAAACAUACAACUUCAAAAGUAUUCCACGUGUAUACCCCACAGGAUGUGGAUGAGAUUUCAAAGUUGUUUAGCUAUUCUAACAAGAUGUUUAUAUUUACAUUAGCAAUUUUGUAGUUAAAGUCAUUAGAGCCACCUCUCAUUUUUAAUAACGGGUUGUUUGGAUGAAAUAUGUGGUACUUUAAGAUAAAAUGAUGGGUUACUUAAAAAUAUGAUAUUUGUAAAGUACAAAAUUUGUGGUAUUUGUUUGGUUAAUAAAUUAAUUUAAUAUAGUAUUUGGUAAACAAAAAUUAUUGGCGAAUUCAGGAUCGAAACAUAUACUAAGCUGGAUUUGAAUACAAAAUCUAUGCAUCAAGUAAGCAAUUUAUGAAUACAUUUUUCAAUAUAAUUCAAAGUUAAAAUACACAAAAAAAAAGACAAUCGUUGUGUUGUUUUUAGUUAAAGCAUUUUGUCAUUAAAGAUAGAAUGUGUCAUCGUNNNNNNNNNNNNNNNNNNNNNNNNNNNNNNNNNNNNNNNNNNNNNNNNNNNNNNNNNNNNNNNNNNNNNNNNNNNNNNNNNNNNNNNNNNNNNNNNNNNNNNNNNNNNUAAAUUAGACUACCACUGAGCCAAAAUAAUAUUUCCCUGAGCCGGAUCUAAACUCACCUUAAGCCGAACUCAAAAUAAUUGUAAAUAUAUAUCAAAAUUUAUGGCUCAGUGCCAAAAUUGCCCUAAGCCCUAGUUCUAUAUGGCACCCUACCAGAUCCACCAUUGACGAAAAUGCCAAAUACUUCAAAAUAUCGCUUCCAAUACAACAUAUGUUUGAGUUAUUUGAAAUAUCACAGUUAAAAAAUACUAACAUUGUUUUUUGUGUUAAUUUAUGAAGAAUAUAUGCAUCCUUGAUAAUUAAUAAAUGGAGUUACUCAACUUUAAUUAUAAAUUAUUAAAAAAGUCAAUUGUUAAAGUUGACAAUAUUCCAAUUAAAAAUUGUUAAACAAUUUUCGGAGUACACAUAAUUUUAGAUUGUUAAAGUUUUCCAAGUUAUAUUAAUCUCUCAAUUUUUAAAAUUGAGUUAAAUGUUUGAAAAAUCUAUUAUUUGUAACUUAGAUCAUUGAGGUUUUUAAAAUUAAUUAAACAUAUUUUUUAUUUUAUAUAGCGAAUAGUGUUAUUAUGAAUUUUUUUGGUAUAACACAUUUCAAAAAUAAGUUUAUAAGAGGGUGUUCAGGAGGUUAUAAAUUAAGUCGUUAAUUUUAUAUUUAGUGACCUGGUACGCGAGUAUGCACGUAAUGUACCAUCACGCUUUCAUGAUCGACGUCCACAACAAUCUAUUUUGGUUCCUAGGUUGCUCCUUCCUCAAGUAGCCCCCUCCACAAACGUAGGUCGGUGGUGCUUGAGGUAAACACUCAUACCAAUUAUUACAAUCUUUGGGUACAACUCAUCCCUUAAGAGGUUAUAAGCUUACUGGCUAAUUCCAUAUUUAAUUUUGUUGUACACAAUUAGAUAGGUAACACAUAAUUUUAAAAAAACAAUAUAAAAUCUAUCUUCGUAGAGACUUUUUAAUUAAUAUAAUAUAGAAAAUCAUAAAUUAAUAUUACAACAAUAAAAUAUAUUAAAUUCAGACUUAUAAAGUUUGGAUUAACAAUAAAUAACUCUACUAGUUACUUGAUAAAAUAAUCGUAUCCAACCAUUUGAGAUUGGAUUAAUUUAAAUAAAAUGCUAAAGUUAGUACUUGUCUCUUUUGUAAAGCUAAGCCUAGUACUUUAAUGAUAAAAACGUUAAUAAAAGUUGGUUGUAGUUGAUCCAUAUGUAUCGAAGAGGAAAGGAAAUGGAACCGAAGCAAAACAGAGUUGGAUUUUUGGUUUGUACAAGCCAACCCAAGAAGGCAAAGGUACAUAAUUUAUGCAGAGAAACGUCCUUAUCCAUUCAAGUAAACCCACUGUCCUGCAAUCUAACGCACACUAUCAUCUCCUCUCGUCUUUUUUUGAUUUUUCUCAUCAAUAAUUCUUGUCUUUUUCUAUUUACUUCUGGUGGCCGGGAACGGUGGAUCCGCACAAAAAUUUGAGAGAGAAUGAGAGAGAUCAGAGAUGGGGGCAAACUAGAAGCCUCCAUCAUCAUCCGCUAUCCUAUAAUCAUAAUAUUACACAGCAGCAGUAGAUAUUGACCUCCGUGACUGCGUCACAACCCACACUCCCAAUUCUCCAAGUAUCACUCAUUAUAUACGUCAGUUUUUAUUAGUCGAAGAAGCUGGAAAAGGCAAAAGCGGACUGGGAAAUAGUUGGAUUAUUUGCUGCACAAUCAACCUUAGAAAGGUAUGGGUUCAGUAUGGAAUCACUUCAUUUCUUCCAGGUCACGAAUUGCUCUUCAAUUUUCGAUUCCGGGGUUAUUGCCUUUUUUCGUUUUGACUCUCUGGAUAACAUUAUUAAUUCCUCCCUGGUGUUUUUGUCUUAUUAUUUCAGAUCUGACUUCUGGGUGGGUGCUUGGUGCGGAUAUUGCGUUUGGAAUUAUUAGUUCAACAGCUUUCUUUGAUUUGGUUUACUGGAGCCAGGUAAGGCGAGAGAGUUCUUGGUGCAUCAUAAUUGUUUCUUGUCGGCAACUGAUUAGAUUUCCAAAGUCAAAGAGCUUUUGAGUUGGGGUUCUUCUCAGUUCAGAAUUCAUUGAUCACCUUGUUUUGAUGGAGCUCUUUGGAGCUGAAGCUAUGGUGGUCAAGACCUGAAAUUUAGUCUUGAGAUCGAAGAUUUAGGAAUUUCGGGUGAAAUGGGUAGCAGUAGAACUAUUGUUUGGUUUAGGAGAGACCUUAGGAUUGAAGAUAAUCCAGCACUAGCAGCUGCUGCAAAAGAUGGUGCAGUGUUUCCUGUGUAUAUUUGGUGUCCUGAAGAGGAAGGGCAGUUUUAUCCGGGCCGGGUUUCGCGGUGGUGGUUGAAGCAGUCACUUGCUCACUUGGGGAAAUCCCUCAAAUCUCUUGGGGCGGAACUUGCCCUCAUCAAAACCCAUAGCACUUUUGAUGCUCUCCGUGAUUGUAUCAAUGCCAUUGGAGCAACCAGAGUGGUCUUCAAUCAUCUCUACGGUGUGUAUCGCUCUCUUUUACAUACUUGCCUUUGCAAGUGAUGGUCUUGCUUGAUGUCUCUCUAACAUUUGAUCGCUUCUCUUGCAUAGCUUUCAGCUUUCUAGGAGAAGUCAAAAUCUCACCUUUUUAUGCCUAGUCUAUAUAUCAUAUUGUUCACUAUUGUUUAUGUAGUCCAAUGGAGUUGAUUGCUUCUUUUAAUACCAUGUCUUGUAGUUGAUAAAAUGCUUAUCUUUAUUUGUCUCUCUUUAUGUCAGAUCCGGUAUCUCUUGUCCGUGAUCACAGUAUCAAAGACAAACUGGCAGGACAUGGAAUCUCUGUUCAAAGUUAUAAUGCAGAUUUGUUAUUUGAACCAUGGGAGAUAUAUGAUGAUCAAGGACAUGCUUUUACAACAUUCAAUCCAUAUUGGGAGAAGUGCUUGCAUAUGCAGAUGGAGCCUGUUUCACAUCUUCGUCCAUGGCGGUUGGUUCCUGCUACAGGUAGAUUUUCUGUCAAGUCUGUUUGCUUUGGAUCAAGUUGUUUUUUAUUAUGUGGAUAUUACAACCAGAUUCUUGUUUAGAUGGCUUUCCCUAGUACAAUGCAAACAACCUUUUUAUGAAGUCAUAUCUAUAAAAAAUGCUUGCUUUGCGAGUUCUUCAUACUGUUGUUUUGGUGUUUGUUCGUCAUACCAGGUACAAUUAAAACGAGUGUGGUGGAUGACCUGGGUCUGGAAGAUGAAUUGGAAAAGGCAAGCAAUUCCUUGUUAGGAAGAGCAUGGUCUCCAGGUUGGGGUAAUGCUGACAAAGCUUUAACGGAAUUUGUUGAACAACAUCUAGUUCACUAUUUAGAGAACAGACUUAAAGUUGGGGGGAACUCCACUUCACUCUUGUCCCCGUAUCUCCAUUUCGGAGAAAUGAGCGUUAGAAAAGUUUUUCAGAGUGUUCUAAUGAAGCAACUAGUGUGGGAGGAAGAACAAAACAUGAAAGGAAAAGAAAGUGUGGACCGGUUUCUUAGGUCGAUUGGUUUCAGAGAAUACUCCCGUUAUCUUUGUUUCAAUUUCCCCUUCACGCACGAGCGAUCAUUACUAGGACACUUGAAAUACUUCCCUUGGAAUGCCAACCAAGCCCAUUUCAAGUCCUGGAGACAAGGAAGAACUGGCUACCCUCUUGUUGAUGCCGGAAUGAGGGAGCUGUGGGCAACUGGUUGGAUGCACAAUAGAAUAAGAGUGAUCGCGUCGAGCUUUGCUGUCAAAGUUCUGCUCUUGCCAUGGAGAUGGGGGAUGAAGUAUUUCUGGGACACACUUUUGGACGCAGACCUAGAAAGUGACAUCCUUGGUUGGCAAUAUAUAUCGGGAAGCUUACCAGAUGGCCAUGAACUUGAACGUAUAGACAGUCCAGAGGUAUGAAAUAUUUAAGCUCUUCUCUUCAAGUAUGUCUUAUGUACUCUUGAAUUCGUGUCCAAAUUAUGCUAAGGUUAUUGGGUUAGCUGACUAAUCUAAGCAUAAGAUAAGAAUUAACAUUUACUUCAUUUUCAAAUGUAUGGUCAAUUUCUUUGAAAAGCAUGUGAAAAACUGUGAUGCUAUACAAGGGUAUUUGGUGAAUGCAUGAAUAUAGUGCCUUGUAUCUCUGCAUAUUGCAUUCAAGGGAUCUAGGAUGUUAAUUCAGUGCGGCAGGCAGUCGUAUAAGAUCAAAUGUAAUUGCAUAUUUGCAUUGCGAUGUGUGAAGUAGAUGUUUGUAGUUCUUGAUUGGUAAAAGAGAUACUAACUUAAGUUUGGAAUGCAUUACACUAUGAAUUAGAUCCAAGGUUCCAAAUUUGACCCAGAAGGUGAAUAUGUGAGACAAUGGUUGCCAGAAUUGGCUAGAAUGCCAACCGAAUGGAUUCAUCACCCAUGGGAUGCACCUGAGAUUGUGCUUAGAUCUGCUGGGGUUGAACUGGGGCUAAACUAUCCGAUGCCUAUAAUCGAUCUAGACAAAGCUAAAGAACUUCUGACUUCAUCCAUAUUCAAGAUGUGGGAAGCAGAAGCGGCUGCCAGGGCAUCAAGCUCAAGCGGGACAACUGAAGUAGUUGGUGAUAAUUCAGACAUUGCGGAUAUUGCAAGCAUCCCAAAGGUUAUCCUGAGGGAGAAAUCCAAAGUUGCUUGUCCUAGUAUUUCAUCUAAUGAUCAGAAGGUGCCAUCAUUUCACAGUAUGAAGAAGGAAUUAGUCAGUAAGAAGAGACCGAAAUGCAUGGAGGGGGAUAAGCUGCAACAUCGUAACGAUGGAGUAGGGACUUCAAGAGGAGACGUAGAAUUGUACUCGACUGCUGAAUCUUCUGCGGCUAAAAAGCAGGCAACAACGAGCAUAUGUUCAUUUUCUGUUCCACAGUAUAGUUCGUCGUCAGAAGGCAACAGCACAGCUCAGGAAUGCGAACAAUCAGAGGGAUGUCAAUUGCAAAUUGACUUGGCAAAAAGUCCAACCAAAGAUGGUAAGUGGUUUUUUUUCCUUUAUGAAUAUGGUAAGUAGUUUGGCUUCUUCACAUUUUAUUUUUUGUCCUAAAACAGUGGUUCUUUCUAUCAAACUUGUCUUGGGUUCCAACUUGCAGUUACCAUGGGAUCUUGAUGGGAUUCCGAGACUUGUGGGUGAUGAAGGAAAUAGACACAACAUCAUUAGACCAUGUCCAAACUCAGUCUGAAGCCAUUUGAAACAGUAACUGUGGGGAGGUGAUUGAGCAAAACUGGAAGCCUGAUAGUGUCUAUAGUCACAUGUAAGUUCUAUUUCAUGUCACGCGACUCGAAAAACUGUUCCACAUAUUGCACAUGUUUAUAGCUAGAGCAAUAAAAAGUAAAACCAUAUACCUUUUGGAGUCGUAGUCGUUUUCCCAUGAGUAAUGGAAUGUGGUUGGAAGUAGGCAACUGAUAGCCUGAUAAGUAUCGAGUUAAACAGUGUUUGAUUUACGUAAGAAUGGUAGCUUUGUUUGGAGGGAUAUGUGCUUGUGUUUUGAAUUUGGGCUCUGUAUUGUCGGCCUAAAGGUGUGAGUUAAGAUGAAUCAGGAUAUCUGUGACUUGCGAAGCAAAUAUAUGAAGUAUUGAUUGAUAUUUUUUUAUUGUAUACAAACCAAAAGCACCAUCAACAAUCUUCCCAAAAUUCUAUGUCUUUUAUAAAAUUCAGAGCCAACGAGGCUUGAACGAGAGUAUUUUCGAUUGCUCCUGGCGGUGCCGCUUCAAUGAAGCUUCUACGAUUGUUUUUUUGUUUUGAUAGAGAGAAAAAAGUAGUGGUGGUUGUGAGCAGAUUUUACCGUGAUAUCAAAAUCCCCCUUUUUCAUUUAUUAAUUGAAAAAUUGAUUGUAUUAGGAACAAUUCAUCCCAUUUACCUUUUUCAAAUUUCAAUUAUUGGAUCAGUCCUUUAAAAUUUAUUGGUUACAAAAAAUAUCAUAACCAUUAGGACACAUGAUAUUAGAUCUGAGCUUUAUGUACAUGAGUACAAUACAGGGGUAGGGAGUAUCGUGGCUGACAACCAACGACAACAAAGUCCUUUAGUAUAAUUUACUUUAUGUUCGUAAACACGUCUAAACAUAUAUAUAUGGCAUGAUUAAUAUAAUUAUUUUUUUUUAGAAAAUUGAUCUAUAAUCUUGUAUGGUAUUGUUAAUGAAAUUAUUAAUUUAGCAAUCUUAUUAAUUAAUAAAUAAUUUUUCAAUUUUUGUAAUUGCUAAGUAGAGUGUCACAUCACCCUCUACUUUAAAAUUUAAGGAUGAAAAAACUCUUAGGCUAACUUUAGCCCUUUGGCUGGGCAAAAUCUAUUUUAGCCAUUUAGCCUUUUUAAAAAUACAAAUUGCUACAACCAUGAGACUAGCCAAAUUUAAUAAGUUUCAUUAAUUUUUUAUUUGGUUUUGAUCGAUAUAACUCUUCGGCAUGUAAUUUAAAGUUAUGUACUUCAAUUUUUAUAUAGUUUUUCAUGAUAAUUCGAUAUAAAUAUUUAAAAUUUGAGCCAUUUCAAUUUUGGGUUGAAGACUAAAUUAGCUGGGCAAAUUUAACAUUUUACAUGUUAGCAUCAAAGCUGAAAUUAACUUUAUCUCGACAAGGAGCUAUCUACACAAAAAAUAUAUUAUUUUAAUCGAGAAGAAUUCUUUUAUAUUCCAAUAACCUAUUUACGUUGCAGAAGAAAGAUACACUAUAAUAUAAGCCCAAACGGAGGCCCAUCUGACUGUUGUCAUUGGGCCAGCUGCCUAGUCCCUAAUGAGUUUGUAGUUGGUCCGUGUUGGUUUGGACUAGUGUUGUAUUCAAAUUACAUAUGGUCAGUGGUCACAAAGAAAUUCAAAGGUCUUUCGAAAGAAAAUAGAAUUCAGAGGUAACCGGAACACUGUCAAGUCAACAACUUUAUUUAAAAGUUAGAUUAGUAUUUUUUUUAAACCAUUUUUUGAUUCAUUGGAUUUUCUUUUCUGAAUCAAAAUUUCGGUGAUCGGAAAAAUUGUUUCCCAUCAGUGAUUCCGGCAAUGUCAUGUUUGUUUUUUUGAGAACGGUACACGUUUUGCAAACGAGUACAAGCAUUGUCGGCAGUCGGCGGUUACAGAUCACCGACAACGUCGACCAACGGCUAACAUUACUAUAGACCGACAUAUUAAUAUAGCCUAGUAAACAUAUCACCAUCGGAGGUUCCAAAACAGUUGAUCGCCCUAAGUUGGAUUAUAUAGAAGUUGAAAUGCACUUAGCCACAUACGAGAAAUAUAUUGAUUUAUUUUAAAAUAUAAUGAUAGAAACCCUUGAAGAGCUGCAAGAGCCACACUAAUUGAGAUUUCCUUUCCCCGCGUCGCAAACUAUACUGAUGGUUGGUUGGAGAAUAAUCAUAGAAACCAUGAAAGAGCUUUAAUUCAGCAUUUAAAAAUAUUUUAUGGAAAAGAAAGUAUUACUGACUGGAACACGUUAUGAAGAAUGGACGUACAGAGUACUCCCAGCAAUCUCGCCCCUAACCGACCCAAAUCACCUCUUCCAGUUAUUUACUUUGUUGUAUAUGGCCACACAUUUCAUACGGGGAGACCAGCCGACCACAUGCAACGUUUUGAUUUUCUGUCUUUGGUAUGUUGUCCGGAUGCUGGAAUUUCCACGUCCACGUACCCCCCAAACUUGCCAUGUUCUGAUGACUCUUUGCUUCCUCCAUAAGUCAUGAAAAGCUGAGCCUCAUAUCUCUCAUUCUGAUUCUUGGUCUGCUUCGCUUCCACCGUAUCAUCAGAAAGCAACAUGCUAAAUUUAUUGUACGGUGCAUACAAAGUACAUACAUGCUAAAUUUGAACACAUGACCGCAGACGGAUAUACCAACUCAUCACCAUCAUCUUAUCAUCGUAAAUCACAAAAUAUUCCGACCAAUCAAAGAAGUAUAAUGACCUUGAUGUCGAGCAAAAAAUCACAAAAGAUGAGAGUAUUGUGCAUAGCAUUAUAGUUAUCGUCAAGUUGCUUUAGGUAGAUAAGGUCCCUGAACAGCUUCCACCUUUUGGAAUCUGCCCCGUCGGAGCUGCACUUUUUUUAACGAUCUUCGGUGAGUACUCUUCCCUUUUAGGGUUCCACACGAGGUCAACUUUCAAUUCGUCAUCUUCCCACAAACAAAAUUCAGAGGGAGAGUCGUUGAAGAACUCUUGGACGACUCAGACGAUGAUGUCGAUCAGGGUAUCGUCGGAGGAGUAGGACGUGUAUUAUAAGUUGAAGCAUGGAGAAAUUGGGGUGUAUGUGACACUUUUUUUUACCCCUACAUCAUUUCUGAGCCAUCAGAUUAAAUUACUAGAUUUGAAUGGCUUAAAUUAAUCCUUGAAGUUUUCUCAAUUAGGUUAUGUUUGACUAUUUGACCUCCUAAUGGAUAACUUGCUACAAGGGGGUAAAAAACAAAAUGGACACUUUGGAUUCCAACUUACAUAAAGUUAGUUACGUGUACUAGGGUGUUGAUUAAGAGUUGUUAAAAAGUUUAAAGAUACAAGUUAGGUAAAGGUAAACCUAAUUAUUACACACAACCCCCAAACAAAAUCUGCUAUGUAACUUUAUAUAAAUUAUUAUAAGACAUUCCGAUACAUAUGUGUAUACGGUACAUUCAACACCUAAAACAUUCAUUAUCAAAAUUUAAAACCAAAACAACAAAACCUAAACACCUCACAUGCGACCCUGAUAACUAAAGAAUGAUGUUAAACCCCUAAGCACUAUAUUCUAACCCUACAAAAAUAAAUCAUAAAACCAGUUUCUUAAUCAUACUGCAAANNNNNNNNNNNNNNNNNNNNNNNNNNNNNNNNNNNNNNNNNNNNNNNNNNNNNNNNNNNNNNNNNNNNNNNNNNNNNNNNNNNNNNNNNNNNNNNNNNNNNNNNNNNNNNNNNNNNNNNNNNNNNNNNNNNNNNNNNNNNNNNNNNNNNNNNNAAUUUUUUAUCAUAUAAUUAUAUAUAUACUACCAAGCAAAUCUACAAAACCUAACUAAUUAACUUCACCUCCAUCGUUAAAAAUAAGAACGUUGAUUUUGGAUUUAAGCGUGGAUGAUGUGGAAUAACACAAUACAUUUUCGAUAUCCAAGCAUUUGUGAAUAGUUUAUUUGGGCCCAGUGUAGGGUCUGAAGUCCGAAGGGUUUCCAAGGUGACGGAAUAUAUUUUUCCGGUCAAUAGAAAAUACAAAGCAAAAUAAAUUUUAUAAUGAUGUUCAGUUCAUAAUGUGUAUUGGAUUCAAAUUCAAAAUUUUAACCAAAUGUGAUUAAAACAUAAGAAAAAUAUAAAUUAAUAUUAUUUUGAUGAAAACAUAAGAAAAACAUAAAUUAAUAUUAUUUUGAAAAAAAAUCUAGAAAGGAUAUUUAGGUGAAACAUCAGCUUUUAUUAUAAUAUAGUUUGCUUUACUAAACUAAGUAAAUUAAAAUAUGUUGUUGUAUAUGGUAGAGAUUUCGAUGCAUUAAUGCACUGAGUAUACACGCUACGUGAGAUUUGUUCAUUAGCCGGCUAUUAAAAUAUUAAAAUAUGAUCGGCCAACACCCAAAUUUAGCCCAAAUCACAAUUAGGUCACUAAUUAAAUAAAAUUUUUGGAUAAAGUUUCUCCAUCCACUUUAAUAGAUUGUUUGCCACCUCCCACCAGUGAAUGAAUCUACCUCCCACCAGUGAAUGAAUCUGGGUUGGUUGGUUUUUCAAACCGAUUUUUAUAUGCUCCUAACAAAUCAGUCAAUGGAAAAACUAAAUUAUGGUUACUGAUUCAGGGGAGAGGGAAAGGAGGUCAAUUCUUGUUCGUCGACUGAUAGGGCAACCAUCGCCGAAAUUAAUGACGAAUAGAGGUCAACAGGUGAAGUAGGGGCCGCCUGAGGUAACCGUUCGUCCUCCGCUCCUCGCUUUGAUUCUGCAAUCGAUCUUUUUAUCUCUUCGUGGACAGAGAAAGAGUGUAUGAGAGAGCUGGAGUUUCUUCGAGGAGAGUAGCAGUAAGGUGGUGACGGAGGAAGUCCAAUAGUCAAAGAAGGAAAAAUGAUAUUGAGAGUUGUGAUGGGGCUGAAGGAACCCGAUGUCCGUUCUUGGUCUUCCAUGGAGUUGGAGAAGACGAUUUUCGGAAUAUUAGAUGGGGUUUUAAAAAAAAUAAUUAAUUAAUUGAGUUUAGGGUUGGGAAAAUGAAAAUGUUUAAAAUUAUUAAUGAUGGUCAUAAAGAUAAUUACUCAAUAUUGAAGUGUCCAACCUUAAUAUUUGGACCAUUAAAUUAAUAGUAGACAAUUAUGCGUUGCCAUGUGUAUGUAUACCCGGUACAUUAAUGCAACGGAAUCCUUUUGUGUUGUAUAUAUUGUAACAUUAAAUUAGGUGAUUGAUUAUAAAAUUUAUGUUCUCUAAAUUUAUUAAGAUUAAAUUUUAUAAUUAAAUUAUAAACAUUUAUAUAAUUGAUAUUAUUUUGAAAAAAAAAUGAUAUUCUAGAAAGGAUAUUUAGGUGAAACCGGUAACUGUCACAUGUAUGUACCCUACCUGUACUAGCUGCCGCUGCUUCACUCCUUGUGUACGUCUCCACUGAAAGGACCGUACCAGUACGGAUCCUCUCCAACUUUGACAAGUAAGACAGUUUCUCCCACUCCCACUUUUUUCCCAUCCAACGGCUCGCUAUGCUUACAUCCAUUCACAGCCGUUAAAUCUAACACGCGUCCUCAUCAGUCUACCACCCCAUGGAUUUCGAAUAUUCCGAAAACAUCCCGUUCUCCAGUUCCAACCGCUUAUCUCGCUUUCACUUUACCGUAAAUCAAACUCUCCUUUUUAUCUUUGGAUUGCAAAAUUAAUUAAAUUACGGAUAUGUUGAGGAAAAUAUAAUGUAAGGGGACCAAAAUACCCCUGCUUUAUUUCCUUUCUUUAUAUAUUUACCAACGACGUCCGGAAACCGGCAGCCAGUUGUAUAGCAGAGAGUGAAGUAACUCAAAGUAAUGAGCGAAGCAUUGGGAAGAGACUACCAAAUCUGCGACGAGAUCGGCCGGGGACGCUUCGGAACCGUAUUCAAGUGCGAUUCCCGCUCCACUGGCGAAUCCUUCGCCGUCAAAUCCAUCGAUAAAUCCCUCACCGCCGGCGAAUCCCUGCACCCACAGGAUCCCUCACCGCCGGCGAUUCCCUGGACGCCCAGUGCCUCUUGACGGAGCCCAAGAUUCUGAGCCUCCUCUCCCCUCACCCAAACCUAAUUCAGCUCCACCGCACCUACGAGGACGAUUCCCAUCUCCACAUGGUAAUGGAUCUCUGUCCCAAUUCCGAUCUCCACACCCUAAUCGUCGCCAACGGCGGCGCACUCCCGGAGGCGGAAGCCAGGUCGAUCUUCGCCCAAUUGAUGUCUGCGAUCUCGCACUGCCAUUGGAACGGCGUGGUCCACAGGGAUGUGAAGCCGGACAAUGUUCUUUUCGAUUCUUGGAAUUCCGUGAAAUUGGCCGACUUCGGUUCGGCGGAGGUGGUGGCGACGACGGAGGAGGCGGCGGUGACGGGAGUCGUCGGGACGCCGUAUUACGUGGCGCCGGAGGUUCUGUUGGGGAGGGAGUACGGUGAGAAAGUGGACGUGUGGAGCGCAGGGGUGGUUCUGUACAUAAUGCUCGCCGGUUUUCCUCCGUUUUACGGGGAGACGGCGGUGGAGAUCUUCGACGCGGUGUUGAGAGGGAAUCUGAGGUUUCCGACUAGGGUUUUCCAGUCGGUGUCUCCCGGUGCGAAGGAUCUGGUGAGGAGGAUGCUGUGUAAAGAUGUGUCGAGAAGAUUCUCUGCUGAGCAAGUGCUUAGUAAGUUUUGCAAACUCUGUUUUUGAUUCUUUAUUUUAUAUAUUCUCAAAAUCAUGUUGAGGAUGGAGUUUGAUUGAUGCGUACUAUGUGUUGGUUGUUGCAGGGCAUCCAUGGGUGAAAAGUGGUGGUGGAACCACCUGAAGGAGCUGGAUUGACUGCUUUGAUGUAGAUAAGGAUGAAUCAAACUGGAAGAGGAGCCUUUUGUGAUGUAUCUGCUAUAAGUUUGGGUUUGGUAAUUAAACAGAGAGAAGAAGCAACUUUUAUUCUGCUUUUCUCAUUUCUGGGUUUUGAUUUCGUGAGCCACUAGUAGCAGUAGUAGUAGUAAUAGAGAGAGAGAUACGGCCUGCCUCCACUGAUCACUGGUGUUGUUAUAGAGGGGGUGCAAGUGGAGAAGAAGCUGCUGCUGAUGAACUACUUUUUAGUGUAUGUACUACGAAUAUAUAAUAUGGCCCGCCUGUAUAAUACAAGUAGUAAAAUUGCAUAAAGCUUUUGUUUUUAUGAAUUUCGUCCUUCAACCCAUAUGGUGGUGAAUGAAUGCUUAUUAUUUGGGACGUUUCAUGUUAUCCAAUUCCAAUAUGUUAAUGGAAAAUUGUUUCCCAAUAUGCUUGGAUCUUCGAUUUUGCAGCUCUGCUUUGAUUCAGUUUUAGCUAUAGAUAUAACGGUUUACAGAAACCGUAUAGUUUUUGAGAUGUCGUCGGCAUUGAUUCUGUUGCCAUUUGCUGUUUUGUUCUUGUUGAUAUGGGAUAAUCUUAAACAAAUAGAAAGAAAGAAUUCAUUGUCAUCCGUUUUGGACUCAAUUGGAUUUUUGAUUGAUUGAUUUGAGUGAUAUUAUUAACAAAGAUAUCAGUGUUGAUUCUGCCGCUACUGUAACUAAUUAACCGUUUUAAAACUAAACAUGAUUGAUUGGGUUGGUUCUCAUUUUUAAAUACUAAAUAGUAAUCAAUCUUCCGUCAUAAGAAAUAUUAUAGUAAUCAACAAAAUUCACAAUCUAAAGAGUGCUUCCUUCCAACAAUCCGUAUAGACAAUCCAGAACCAUUAAUCAACUUGUUUCCCGUUGGUUGAUUUGUUCUUAAUCUUACUUUGUUGAACAAAUAGACUCGCUGAUGUUGAAUUUCCUCAACACUUUGGUCUUUGGCGCCGAGUCCUUCCAGAUCCAAACUUAUUCUUCCACCAAACCCCCAAAUGGAACUUUCUAGCGUUAACCUUAACCCACCGAAUACGAUUUAUUUUACAAGAUAUCAAUUUUAUAAUUGAAGGGUUGGAAUCUUCCACAAUGAAGAAGGUCAAGAAGACUUGCAAGAUCAGGACAUGUGGAUGAUCAGCAAAUUGAGGGACUCCAAUGGUUCAAGCCAAGCCACAGUAAACAAAUGUGAAAGACCCAAUAGAGAUGCAAAAAAUACUAUAAAACUGUGGAGCUUUGGAUGUUGCACAAGGAAGAAGAUAUUUCUUGAAAGAGCAAUUGUAUAUAUAUGGAUGGAUAUACAGAGUACUCUAGUAGAGAGUUAUUGGGUAGUUAAGUGAGACCGUGGGGGGUUGUCAUCUGCAUAAACUUAACCUACAUCACUGUUACUCUCCUCAUCUUCAGUUAUCCCCUCCACGAUAAGGUACUGAAGCAUUAUCGAGUAUUUUGCAGUCCGCCUCCUCCCUGGAUUUCUCCCGCUCGUUGACACUCCACUGCUUGUAAGAAGAAACGAUCCUUUGCCGUCAGCUUCAAGAGGACAAACACCCACAUCAUCAGCUUUUAUAUAGCAUACACAUUUUAUGAUUAAUCAAGCGAGGAACAAAAAGACUAUACCUUUAACGGUUAAGAAACAUGAUAUCCAACGUUUGUAGAUGAAGAGCAAUCUUGGAGAUUCUCCAUGGUGCGUAUCAGAGAGCAAAAACUCACAUUUCCCCUUCUCACUAUCAUCCAUCCCAUUCAUAAAAAUCCAAGUUAGUAAACAACAUAUAUACCUAGACAUUCAAGAAGAGUAUCUAUCCAACAGCUGCAAACUUCACUAACUUAGCAUGUCCUACUGCGUUGUGGCACAGAGCCAAUAUCCGAACCAUUUCCAAGUCUCUUCCCCGAGGAUUGUUGUAUCUCUCUUUGCAAACCCUUUCAGAAGAACAACAACUCAAGCAAUCGUUAGUUGCUUGAGGAAAACAGGGAUUCAAGCAGGGAGGAAAAAUUACUGUGAUUUGUUUUCACCUUUCAUCAAAGAAACCUCCAAAGUCAUCAAUAACGACAGCAGCAGGAAAUGUGUCGAGCAGGUGGAAUGCAGCCAUGUACUUCUUAAUUCCUUGAUCAUCUUCCACAUACCUUUUUGGCGGAGGAAUACAUUAAGACAAAAACAAACAGCAAAGACUAUGUUAAAAGAGUGAACGGUGCUUACUUACUUCAUUUGAAUUCGUUCAAAUACAUCGGAAGAAGGAUCCACGCCCUACGAAUUUCAAAAUUAUCAUGAACAGAUGAGAAACACAGCCCACUAAUAGUAGUAAACCAUAAAUUGGUUAUGAAAAUGGGGGGAAGAUGAAAGUACUUGAGAUAGAUAAGGAGGGUUGGCUUCCAUACGGUGGCGGCUGCAAAUGAAGACCACUUUGCGGUUUCUAUUCAAGGCGGUGUUGAUUGCAUACUGGAAGAGUAGAGAUGUUUUCCCGCUGCCAUUGAUUCUCUGGUGAAUUUCUUUCUCUACUGGGAAUUAGGAAAAAACAGAAGCAGAGAGAGGGGUGUAUGGGAAAUGCUUACGAGGUUGGAGGCCCAGAAAGAAGAGUAAUCGGAUUGCUGCUGCAAUGUCUUCCUGUUUCCACUGGCUUUCCACCGGGAAGGAACAUCUCCAUCUUUUCCGUAAGGGAUCGGAGUUCACCCAGUCGGUUUUAGGUUGAAGAUGACAGCAAGAUGUAAGGAAAUAACUGUUCAAGUUGCAAACAACCAAUUUCCCAGUUACUAGCCGUUUAAAUGGGUUGGGCUAAUUUAGAGUAUUGGGCUUAUUUGAGUGCUACCUUCAUACUGUCCUGAUUGAGAUUCAACUUCAGCCCACAGCCACAUCUCAACUGUUGAGGUUUGAUUAUUUCUGUAAUCAAUUGCUUGCUUAUCGUGUUUUAUUAUUUUGUUUUACCAUCUUUUCCAAAGAAAUAAGUAUCCCAUAGCCAUUAAGAAUAGGGCUUUAAAUUGGUGGGUAGUUAAUCCUAUCACAAUUUGCGGUUUAUGACUAAUAAUGGCGGAAAUUUAAGAUUAAGACAUACAUUAAGUCGAAUUUAAAUCCAAAUUUAUGUAUUAAGUAAUUAAUUUAUGAACAUAUAUUUUUUAUCAUAAAGUUAAAAUAUUAAAAAACACAUUCACUAAGUUAUUUUUAGUUAAAACAAGUUAUUUUAAAAGAUCGAUUUGCCACCGGCAAUUUUUUCCCUAAUUAAGUAAUAGUAAAUGCAAGUACUCAGCCAAAGUGAUGAUGAAUAUGUAUCGAUUACUAAAUCGAAAUAACAAAACAUUAAGUCGGACUAAAAUUGUCCUGAGCCGAACUCAAAAAAAUUGUAAAUAUAUAACAUAAAUUUACAAAUUACGGCUGGAAUUGCUCUCAACCGUAACUUCCCGGGCUCCCCUUUCUAUCCGCCCAUGAUGACUAACAACUAACCGCACCUCCAGUUUGCAAUAGCUACUUUUUUCGUAACGAGAAAAAAAUAACACGGAAUAUGAAUUACAAAAUAAUAAAAUACAGAAUCUUAGCAACUUCAUAAAUUUUAACAUGACACACAUAGAAGAUAAAGAAUGCACCUUCACAAUCCAAUCCAAAUCAAAAACUUCCACAAAGAUUCAACUUCACAAACAAAGAAGACAACCACUAUCAAAGAUUCUAUUUCGGCUACGUACACAUCAUCAUUAUUAUUAUCUGGUAAUUCUUUUGAAAUACGUUUGAAAAUAUGAACUAGUCACGGGAAUGAACCCGAGAGGCAAGUUGAUUGAGUGAGUCACUACUCUUGUUCAGGAAUCACAGCCCCGCCUUUGGCCGCUGCUUCCUCGGAGCUCUCCUCCUCGUCAUUUUCUCCGGUCAAAGCCUCCAACGACUUACCAUUCGGUUCCGGCACCAACAACGUAAACACCAUCCCGAGGAAAUUAAUACACCCCAACGCUAUCAACGAAUUCUUCACCCCAAUCCCUGGGCUAUACCCCUUAUCCACCUUCGUCGGAUCCUGCGACUGAGCCGCGUACAAAAACCCAAACGCACCCACUAUCGCCCCUGCCUUCCCCGCCGCCGCCGAUAUCCCGUGGCAAGUCGACCUCAAUCUCGCCGGGAAUAUCUCCGCCGGCACCACAAACGUCGUCGCAUUCGGCCCGAAAUUCGCGAAGAAGAAAGUCAACGAGUACAUCACCACAAACCCGAGCCGGUUGGGCUUCAAAGUCCAGUGGUGGUACGGAAUCGCCAGGGCGAACAUGAACACCGUCAUGAAGAAGAACCCCAUCAUCUGAAUCGCGAACCUCCCAAUCACGUCGAUAAACAGCACCGUGAACCAGUACCCUGGAACCGUACUGCACAGCGCUAUCAAAGUCUGGGCCCUAGCAAUCCGAUAGACCUCGUGAAUUGCGUUCAUGGUGUUUGCCGGCGGGAUCCAAUUGAUGGCGGUGAAGAUAUCCUUCUGGAAUAGGUUCUGGCUGUAGAAGGCGAUGUCGAGCAAGAACCACGUGGAUGUAGUCCCCAAUAGGUGGAGCCCAUGCCUUUUGAGGAACUCACGCGAGAAUAGCCCGAAUUUGUUAGCGGAAUUCUCGGCCAUACCUUUUACCUUCUCUUCCUCUGCUUCCAGAUCCACGUUCAGCACCUUCGACAUGUCCUGCGCGGCCUGUUUGGCGUUCUUCGCCACCAACGCGGUGUACCGGGCAGUCUCCGGCAUCUUCAUCCGCCAGUAGUAAGUCACGCCGGCGGGAAUUGCGCCGAACAUCAGAAUUAUCCGCCACACGUAGUCCGCCUGGGGAGCUAGGGAGGCAGCUCUGUCAGUCGCGUAGGAAGGAGCGCUGAAUCUGUGGUCGAACGCCGAGGAGACGACCAAGGCGACGAUUCCUCCGCCCAAGAUUCCGAACCCUUGCAUCGCGAACACGGCGGCGAUGAAGGCUCCCCUUGUCUUCUUGUUGGCGUACUCGGACAUGAUGGUCGCCGAGAGAGGGUAAUCGCCGCCGAUUCCGAAGCCGAGCCAGAACCGGAAGAAGCAGAGUGUGGCGAUUACCGAUGAAGGGUCGUGGCUGAAGGAGAGUCCCGAUGCUAAGGAGCAGACCACCAUGAGUAUGAGCGUGAUUCCGUACACUUUCUUGCGGCCGAGCUUGUCUCCCAGCCAGCCGAAGAAGAGCUGGCCGGCUAAGGUGCCGCAGAGUGCGACGCCGUUGACGGCUGCGGCGACGUUGGGAGGUAGAGAGCCUGGUUUGGGCAGACUAGUGUCGGUGUAGUAAAUUCGGCCGAGCAAUUUGCUGACGAGGGAGAUGCAGAAGAGGUCGUAUGCGUCGGUGAAGAAUCCCAUUCCUGCGAUGACGAUCGCGGUGAAAUGGUAGAGCUGGGUUUUAGCGACGUCGAGUGCUGUGAGCACUCCCAGUUGCUCUCUCGCCAUGACUGCCUGCAGCUAAUUAAUCAACUCCACGUACGUGCCCUCUGUUUCUUUUUUUCUCUAUAUUAACGUACAAUUGAUCAGAGAUUUGAGUAUAGUCUGUAUAAUAUCAGUAAAUGACUAUUGGAUUAAGACGUGUUCAAUAUAUAUAAAGAGAAAACUGGCAUGGAGUCAUGGUGUUGGAUACAUAGCUUGACAAAUUAAAGGAAGCAAAACAAAUGAUCUGAACUUAUAUUGUACAGUUGGCGAUGAUCAUCAACAUUCAUGACUUGUUCAGGUGUUCUUCCUUAGCUAGCUAGGUAGGCUGGCCAGCCGAACAGAAUCGACCUUGGGAUUUCCAGAUGGAAACAACCAUAGAUAUAUGGUUCCCCAGCCAUAUAGUAUACUUAGUUAGCAGCUUCAAGCGCCAUGUGUAUGCAAAUGCAUGGAUAGCAUAUAGCAUCAGAAAAGAAAAAGCAACCGCACUAGGCAAACAAAGUAAGUAUAUACUAGAAAGCGACAAAGUAGAGCUUCUUCUUUCUCAACGUACAGAUGGAGUUAAGAGAAUUACUCACCUUUAGUUACUUGGGGAUAGUUAGUGCUUCAUCCAAAUUCACAAAGGGAUCGAUGACCAGUGAGAAGAGUAGUGUGUAAUUAAGAUGUUGCUUGUUGGCAGAGUUUUAUAGAGGGAGGGACUCUCAUAUAUGGUUGCAUAAAUGGCAUCUAUUAGAGGAUAUGCUGUGUGUGUUCCCAUUGUUUCAUGUUUAAUUUAGUCCACUCUAUUAAGAGGAUAUACAUUACUGAUUACUGGCUCUUCCUCUAUAACUAUUCCUGCUUUCACAUUCCAUUUCAUCAACCUGCUGCAUACAUUACAUACGACUAAACUUAUCUAUCUGUCUUUCUAUUCUCUAAUCUACCAUUGGGAUUGCGGACUUGUUAUCUACAUUAAUUUAGAACCUAAAACAAGUUACUGAUAUACGCUGUAUAUUCUUAUUGGUCAUUCAGAAUGAAGAGUUCAAGUUUCCCCAAGCUGUGCUUCAGCUUGGUGCAACACUGCAACUGUGUCCCUUUCUGUUUAUAGGUACAUGCAAUAAUUCCAUAUUGGUGCCUGGUAAGACCAGUAUGAGCAAACUAAGCAACUGUUUAUCAGAGAGUGAAUAUAUGGAGAUUAGUUAAAACUUACGCGAUUGAGACAUGAAGCGCGUUAAUUGCUCAACAUUCAACGCUACUAUUGAGUAUUGACAGCAAAGUUAUUUGUAUUUAACUUGCUUGUCUUGUCCCUCAUGGCCAUGGAGAAAUGCAAUUAAUUUGUUUUGAUUGAUUUCCAUCGGGUACGUACACCGGAAGACAUGUAGAGGAAGAUCAUCGUCCCACUAUGCUAGAUACAAACAAACAAUUUGCAUGUUCAAUGAACGCCACUAAGAAGAUAAGAUCUGGUAUGUAUCCUCUUAUUUUUCUUUGAGCUCUAUUUUGAGAAGUCAACUAGUUGACAAAUUCCAGUACUUGGGGUAUAUGCCAUAAUAUUCCAGCAACUGGGUUGCCAACUUAUGUCAACUUAAAUUGAUUUAACGGUAACUACGUACGUAUUAAGUAGCUCAAUAUGUGAAGUCGCAACAUGCUAUAUAUGCUGGAAACUUGAGAUUUCUCUCUUGGGAAACUAUAGUUUAGGUGACAAAUUGAAUAUUAUUGUCUGUGUCCAACUGACAUGUUAUAUUUUAUAUUACACUUCAAAUUCUGAGCACAUUCCCAUCCUAAUUAUAAGGUGAUGCAGAGAGGUUUGGUGGAGACCUUACAGGGUUACGAAGGGACAACUUAAAACUUAUUUUUAUUUGGUCCUUUAUUUAUUGAGAUUCUACAUUGUUGUCCAAAGUCUUUUUUGGUCCUAUUAAAGUGUAACACAAUGUUCACUUUAUCCAUUUUCUGAUCAUUUUCUUCAAGUACUGAUAUGGUAUUUGUGAUCAAUCUCCGUCGUUUUGAGUGAAAAAAUAAUAGUAUCUGUUUUGUGAAUCGUUUAGGUUGAAUUAGAUUGCUUUAUCCGGAUCUAAUACUUGAAUUAGGUCCUUUACAAUCACAUAUGGUAAACGGUAGGAAGUUCAAUGUAUGAUGCAUGACGGCAUGAGAGUGAAUAGAAAUAUGAAAGAUGGAGGAGAGAAAAAUGUAUUGAGGUGCCUUCUGCAGUUUUGACUAACGGCCCUCUAUAGAGGUGGCAUGACAGUAUCUAUAUCGUUGUCUCUAGGUGGUGUGACCUUAUUUAGGUUGUAGAUCUCUACGAGUGCGAUUUGAACCCUCGGAUUGAGGAUCACCCGAGGUGCCUUGUGUAUUAGGGCUUGAGGAUUGCCUAAGAUGCCUUGGAUCUAACCUGCUCAAGACCCGGUCGGUCAUCAGUUAAAUAAUUUUUUUUUGGUAUGGUCAACUCUGAAGGUAUCAACCAUAAUUAUAGGUUGCUUGUUUAAACCCAAGUAUGACAAACCAAUCAGCAUUCAACCUGAUUCGUCAUUUAAGAAUAAUACAACACAUUCUUUUAUUAUUUUAUAUAGUGAACGAAAUAAAAAACUAAAAAAUUAAAUAAAACUUUUUAAAAACACCGAAGAAUUAAAAAAAAUUUGUUUGUGCAACUCCCAGUUCUCUUCAUACUGCUCAACUUGCUCGCUACACGCCUACACCAGUUGCAAUUCCAAUAACUCAUCUAUCCAUGCUUCGUCUUUUUCUUUUUGGUCCCUGGGUAAUAUAAUUAUUAUUUCAGAAGAUUUAAUUACUAUAUAGAAAUUUCUAUGUUAUUAUUAUUAUUAAUGACUGGAUAGGCCAAUUAUGACCACGUCAGCAUUUAACGAGAAAAUAGAUAAAAAAUUAUUGUGGUGCCACAUUGAUAUAAUCCCAUAGGUAAGGUAUGUAAGUGGGAAAGAAUUGGUGUGUGACUAACUACAAUGUAUAUUCAGUCAAAAGAUGGUUUCCCCCCGUUUUUUAAUUAUAAAUGUUGAUUUAGAUUGAAUAGGUGUACCAUUCAGAGGGACUGUUCUAAUUACACCUCUGCGCUAGAGAGUUUUGAUGUAACUUUUUUAAGAGAGUUUCAAUUGCCAUCCUCUACAAACAAAACAUGGCCUCUCCCAACAUCACUUCCUAUACCCCACCAACCAUGUUGUACCAUGGACUGGCUACGUUGCCUCGAUUGUCUAGAAGUUGGACCGAAGCCGGAGAAGAUCAUCCAUCACUGCCGUCGCAUCGCAUCCCACCAACGACUCACCGAUCGAUUGAAGAUCGGAAUGAAGCCCGGUGAUCGCGCCGUAGGGCGACGCCGGAGAACGCACCCAGACCUGGCCGCGGAGGAGCUGCGAUUAGCCGAAGCACCGUGGCGACGACGGUGCUCAUCCCGUCGGUGGAGGCCCUAUCUCUCGUGGAUAUUGGCAAAAGCACACAUGUCACCUAAAGAACCGGUUUGAGAGCAGUUCCAGAACUCACAGCCGGCCGGCCAAAGUCGACCGGUUAGUCUAAGUAGCUGAAAGAUCAAGAUAGUCAUAGUACUAACGAUGUGGUGAUUCCAAUAAGGACAUGUUGUCCAAUAGAUAGGUUUUACGGUUUUUGAAUUUACAUUUUUAUUUGGCUAACUUUAUGUCGUUGAUCCCUUUGUCGUUUGUCCAUGGACAGGAGAGAAAGGAUUGAGGUUCUUGUUUACAAGAACCCGCAAUCUAUACAGUUUCGUUUGUGAUGCCUGUACCCCCGGUUGGACACUUGUACGACUUUUGAUUCGUUUAAAAGAAAUGAAGUGGGGAUUUUGUCAAAAAAAAAAACAAAGUCUACCAUCGAAUAUUCAAUACUGUUAUUUUAUAAAUAAUUUUUUUUAUUAAAAAAAACCAACGAUUUUACCAAAUUGAAAAAACAAGAGUGAAGUCUCAAUCUCUUCGAGGCUUGGAGUAGCUCCCUCCCUAUAGGGUUUUGCUCAUCCCCCAUCACCUCUCCCCACCUCACGACACAUCCACCAAUCACAAUUUCAAGCUCUCAAACUUCAUCAACAACCCUAAACCUCUUUAUCGACUACUAAUAAACGCACCUUCAGGCUCGAUCCCAACCUCCACCAUGCCCCCGAAGCAGGUGAACCCGCACAGACCAAGCAAGCCGGCGGCCGACGGGUACGCAAAAAGAAGCACUCAGGAAAAUCACCAUUGGUCAAUGUACGAGUGGAACAGGCGGGUUUGCCCUUGGCCCAACAGCAUAAAUCCCUUCGGGGGUUGUGGAGACCGGAUCAUCUCCGACAACUUCCUCCCCUGCGGCUGAUCUAGCUUUUGUGUCUUCUCUCUUGUUUUUUCCGAUGAUUUUCCUUCGAACUAUGUUUAUGUGUCAGUUAAUAUUUCUAUUUGUUUGUUGGUUCCUUGAGUUUUACUGAAUGUAUCGAGAAGCGAAGUUGAUUAAUUGUAUGGUUAAUUACUUCUCUCAUUGUAAUCUUCAUAGAUUGCACCUUUCGAAUUAUCAUCCACACAAUAUUUUCAAGUUCUUAUUGGAAUAAUAUAAAGGUUGAUUAUUGUAAAAAAAAAAGAGUGAAGUCUCAAACAUUCAAAAUUCAAAUUAUUGUCUACAUAAGUAUCGAUCCACAAUGAAUUAGCAAUGCUGAAAUGAAACAUCAGACGAAAGAAGAAAACCAAAUCAUCUUCUAUUUAUUUUGUUCUAUUUGUAAUGAGAGUGGAUAUUAUUUAGUAUUUACCCAUAGUACAUGCGGCAACAAACAAUCUUUCCUAUCUUCCACCUGGUCGUUACCAUAGUUUCGUGGGAUUAAUCGACACCUUAAUUUAUUCAUUCGUUACAGCCAAAGUACCAUUCAAACAGAGGAUAAUUAUGUGAACUCUUGCAAACUCUUGCAAAAACUGAAAUAGAUUCCUCGAUUCUUUAUGCAGCAGAUUAAAACUGGGUAAAAGUUAAAACUUGCAAUUCUUGCAGAAACUGAAGAAAACAUGGUUGUACGUAUAUGAAACUAUUUGUUGUCACCUGUCAAUCUAUGGUCUAGAGAUAGUGAUGUUGUCAAUGAUCAAUCCCUGCUACGCAUGAAUGGUAAAAUAUUUGGGAUACGCGUUUUUGUGCAUCAGGGCAGUUAGCUGUCAGAAACUGGGUGAGCAAUUGAAAGGAAAGGAAACUUCGUCUCUGCAUUGAAUGAACAGAGAUGGAUCACUUCAUGUUAAAAAGAUAAAACCAAGUAACAAAAUAUAUAUAUAUUACUGAAGUUGAGCAGUACCAUUGGCCUGCAGCGGGUACUGUUCGUAAUAUGACAAAAAUGGUUUUUUUCGUAAACUUAGAGCGACAAUAAAAAUUCAGGAUAGGAAUGCAGAACAAAAUUUCCUGGGACGAUGUUGACUUGAAUUUUGGGCCUAAAUAAGUGGUGAAUUUUUCACAAGUAGUCUUGGUAGGAUGUUAUUAAGGGCCCAAAAGUGGGACUCCAUCAUUGUUAGUCCCUAUCAAUGACAAGCUUCAGGAUUAAUUGUCAAAGACAUCAUUCAUGUCUUGUCCAGUGUUGGGAUUCAAGUUUAAAUGGUUUGCCGUUCAACAAAUGAAGCUAUUAAUUUGUAGGGAACACAAAUUAAUUCUCCCUACGACGGAGCGGUUAUGCGACGUUUUUCAUCCUCCCCUUGCGUUCUCGCGUCAACCGUCGUCAACCGCCAUCAGCAACGGCCUCCGGCCAUCGGACAACCAUCAACCUUCAUCAACAGCAAUCUUCAAUCAUCGAAUUCACUACCGAUCUCCAUCGAUCCUCUGGGUAAAACCCCAUCCCUUUCCUCUUUUCCUAUCAUUGGUGCCGAGUUUCUCGAUUUCGAUUCCUUCGCAUUUCCCCUGAUUUGAUUACGACGCCAUGAUUGAUUGUUCUGGCAAAGGUCGAUCCUCUAAUCUCCUACUUCUACCUUAAAUUCGGCCGUGUAGCCUAAUUUUGCCUUUGUGGUAGAAUUCGAUCAUCCAUAGAAAGGCCUUCCACAUUCACUUUGUUGGGUUUGUUUUGGAUCCAAUUGGGGUCUCUUCGACCAUCGACAAUCUCGACUCAAGCACACGGAAUCCAUACUCAUCGGCACAACAUGUACCUUUGUUGCAUCUCAACUCGUUUCCGGCGGAAGAGGAUUCAACACGGUUCAACCCAACCAACCAACCCUUGAAGCUGAAUUAUAGGUGGAAAUGUUAGUAGAGGAAAAUGACCGAGUGGUUAAUUGACCCAUGACCAUGAUCUUAUUACAUCAACAACAACAGCAACAAGAGACCACUUUCAAAUUUAACUCAAGAUACACAAAUUUUGAACAGGGUACAUGGAAAGUUGUGACUGUACAUAACACUAGUUAUCAAACUGAAUUGGCCGACAAUAAUUGUUCCUUCUCUCACCUCAAACUGUCAAAUAGAUUACAAACCAUCCACCUUGGAAGCUGACUCCUUCCCCACAAUCCCCUCAAUGGAAUCAAACUCUGUCCCCUUAGCUAUAUCUCAGAAACGACUGCCAAAUAGACACUUUUCAUUGAGAACAAUAAGAACACAAAAGCAAGACAACACAAUGUAACAACGUGCUGAACUGCUGCUACCUUGAUUUUAGCAUUACUUGUGGUUGUUUUAGUCGAACCGAUACUCGGAAACCCAAACCUUGCUGGUUUCUUCUCCAAUGGCCUCAGUAUCUGAAAUGAACACAACAAGUCCCCAUCCACACUCAUCAUUGCACCGGCAUUGUCAAACUCCCCACAGUAAUUUGGUGCUGAGAAUAUUGUCACUAGUUGCUUAUUAGCAAAGAACUCAUAUCCAUCCUCCAUAACCUGCAACCAACAAAAAUGCCACAUUAUUAUAACAAUCAUAUAUGUACGUAACUUCAGCAUCCAUAUAAUACGUAGUUAUCUACUCCUCCCAACCUGAUGUGCCCUGCAGAUUAGAUCAAGAUCAAGCUUGCGAAGAAACUCAGUGACUCGAUCAGCUCCAAACGUAUACGAAACACCUCUCUCGUUCGGCCCCCACCCUCGAAUGUCCUUGGAAGGAUCAGACCAUAGAAGAUCACACAACAAUCCACUGUCAGGGAUGGAAGUUGGCCGCGGUAGGUUCCUGAUUUGGUCCAAGCUAUGGAGAUCAGGAGACAACCCACCGUGCAUACAUAGAAUCUUUUCAUCAAUGAGAGCCGCCACGGGGAGGCAAUUAAAGCUGUCUGUGAAGAGCUUCCACAGCCUGACACUGUACCUGCGUUUACACUCGUCGUAGAAGCCGUAUAUCCUGUUGAGAGAGGCACAUUCAUGGUUGCCUCUCAGUAGGAAGAAGUUCUCAGGGUACUUGAUCUUGUAAGCCAAGAGAAGACAAAUGGUCUCAAGGCUUUGUUUCCCUCUGUCCACAUAGUCUCCCAAGAACAAGUAAUUCGCUCUUGGUGGGAACCCUACACUCUCAAAUAUCCUUAGCAGGUCACUGUACUGUCCAUGGAUGUCUCCUGUUUAAGUUUCAAGUUCAUUGUAGGCAGCAUCAGAGAAAAACCCUCAAGAAAAGUAGUGAACUUUUUACUCAUGGUUGGUAAAUUGAGCAAAUUUGCUGAGUCGAAAUACUGUUACAUAAGCAAAUCGGCAAAUACAACUUGUAAUUUCCAGCACAAUCAUAAUAAGUUAACUAUUGUGCAAUCACUCUCAUACGCGUAUAUAACAAGUUAUACACCAUUACCCUAAACAGAAUCAAACAACAGUAGAAAGAAAUCCAUGACUGAAAAAAAGGAAACAAAUUUCUGAAAAGAAUGAUACGUAACUCUGCAAUCAGGGAGAGCAAAAAUGAGAAUAGAGGUGAAGGAUGAUUAUUGAUUACCACAGAUGUUGAUAGGAGCUUCAAUCUCCAAGAGAUUAGGCUGGUUCAGUAAAACCUGGCGGGAGGAGACACAAAGCUGGACGAUUUCGCUCUCGGAGAGCUGAACCAGCUUUCCGGGCUUUCCCCUGACUUCAAGCAAUCGGCUGAUGAUACUGUCAAGAACCCAGCGUUCUAUCAUCUUCAAAGUUGCAGACUUUUGAUUAAUUUGUUGUCAGGCAGCCCUCAGAGAUGGACAAAGAUCAUAGAUGAAGAAGAAGAUGGGAGAGAUGGUUUCUUAAUAAUGGGGAGCAUGUAGUGUAUGUGUAUAACUUUGGGGAAAGAAGGGUUAUUGGGUUUUGUGUUGAGUGACUUUGAUGUGGAGGAAGGAAUGAGAUGACGAAUGGUUGUGGAGAAAAGGGCAAAUACACAAAAUUAAAGGCAAUUUGAGAGGAGGAUAUAUUCUAUUCUCUGAUUCUCUCCUCUUGGUGUUUGUUCCUUUUAGGGGUUUAUUUCAAGAAACGAGUUUACUUUAUCAAGUUGAAUAUUAUUGGCCUUUUUCUUGGUAAUGGUUGGUUUCAUUUCACGGUGGAGCCAAAAACAAAAUUCAAUAAAAAGCACAAGGUGAAAUAUGCUUUGAUUUUGGAAUAAAGAAGACGAAUUUAGAAUAACACGGAAACCAAUAGGUGAAGUGUACUUAGCACUCAUUUUGCACAUUUAAUAGUAUUAGUUCGAUUUCGAAUGCCCCAAUGGACAAACUGUCUAUAGGCCCCGGCUUCGUUCCACCGGGUUUAGGCCUGACAUGAUGGUAAUAGCCUGGCAUGAUGGUAGUAGCUACGUAGUUCAAAGUCCAUCAACUGGGGUCUAGGCCAGAUUUUUAAUAUUUUAUCGACUCAUAUUUUACUAUCAAUUUUAAUGUCAUAAAAAUAUGUCUGAUGAAAUGUCAUGACAAAAAUGAUUCCAAAAUACUAGCUAAAUGUGUCAUUGUCGUCAACCAACAGAAGGAAUUUCAACUAGAUGUGGAAUUGCAUGGGGACGAUCGUUCUGCAGAUAAACAGAACUUCAAACGGCCGGUACAACCGGGAUGACUGAGCUGGCAAGAGAGAAAAACAAAUACUAUUUCUAGAGUUUAAACCGAAAUAAAACUAAAAAAAGAAAAACAAACUGAAAGCAAACGAGUCUAACGAAUGAGAAAAAUAAAAAAAGAACUAAACGCCUAACAAAUUUGGAUGUGAUAUCCGUAUUGAGCCCGCUAAGAGAGGCUAGGGUUCUUAGCGGUCUUGAGUUCUUGGAUCAGUCGGUGUGUCCGAAACCGAGCUGCAACUCGGUCGAACCGGUUCCUAGUUGCUUCUUCCUCUGUUUUUACUAUUAUUUUAUUAUUGGUUAAUUUUCUUAAUUAAAAUUUUUACUUAAUUUACGAAUGAUGAUGUGGCUACAUUUGACAUGUUAGCUGAUACGUUAUUUUAGUGGUCUCAGUUUCAGUUAAUUUGGACGGAAAAUUUAGUGAAAUUUUGUUAAAAGGCAGGACCGAGAUUUAAAAUGAUUCAAACUAAAUUUGAAAAUCCGCUUUAAAUUUGGGAUAGAUUUGGGUAUUCGGCUAAUAAAAAGUUUGGCGAUUCGAUAGAUUUAAGCAUAUCCCUAUACGUUGAAUUUGAAUUAUUUUCUAUUAAAAUGCAAAACUGGUGUUUGCUUGGUUGAACAAGUAUCGUAUCAAAGGUUCGUAGACAUGGUGACACUUAUUGAAGCCUGGCACGUCGGUCGAAUAUUACCCGCCCAAAAUAGGUGAGACAACAUAUUUUUAAGUAGGAAUUAAAAUUUCUUUUUUAAAGAGAGGAAACAGAAAAUAAACCUUUUAAAACAUAAAUAGAAAAAUUUGCAUUCCUCGUAGUAUACGGAUUGAGAUUUUCACGGGUUUCCAUUGCCUCUUGAUCGGCAAUCGAGUGGCACAAAACACCUAAUCUCCCUUCCAUAAUCCUCCCUAUAUAAACAACCUUGGGAUUGCACUAAAUCCUCCACCCAACCCAAACACCAAAGCCAUAGAGAGAGGGAGAGAGCCAGGGGGGGAAAGCCAUGGCUCUACAAAUUGUAGUGAUGAUGUUUCUGCUGGCAGCUGAGAUCUCUGAGUUAGGGAUGAUAUCAGCUGAUCCAAUUCCAAGUGUUGACCCUUGCUCAACAUCACACUACGUAUACAAACCUUCUAAAGAGCUUCCCCAUGGCCGUUAUAGUUUCCCUCCUGGCUUUAUCUUUGGCACUGCCACUUCUUCUUUUCAGGUUAGUUAAUUACUUCUUCACUCUAUUUAAUCGAUAUGCAUCCAUAGCGAGCGAGGUGGUAGGUCUGCUGGAUUUCGGCUUGGAGAUCCCAGCUUCGGAGUCCGGAGAGUGCACUUCUCACAACCCUAUUAUAGCGAUGUCCUCUGAUUUGCUUAAAUAAAUGCUCGUGCUUAAGAUCGAUAAUCCUGAAACUUAUCUGACUGUUCGUCAUAAAAAACAAUGCAUAUAUCAUAUAUAAGUGCUAGCUAUGUAUUAUUUUUCCUAUUUCUUACUUAUUAUGGUGGUAAUGAAGAUUGAGGGAGCUUCAGAUUUUUCGUAUGGGAAAGGUCCGAGCAUUUGGGACAGAUUUACCCAUCAGUAUCCAGGUUUGUGCCAAUUUAGGACUUUAAUUUGAUCAAUUUUUGAACAAAAAACCGAUUCCACCCAAUUUUGUAGCUAAUACAUUAUGCUACAAUGUUGAUUCAUUUGUUGCAGAAAGGAUUUUAGAAGGUGGUAAUGGUGAUGUAGCAAUAGAUCAUUAUCACAAAUUCAAGGUAUAUGAAAAUAUACGUAAAAGUUUCUUGUCUCACCGCGAGAUAAUAUUGGGUGUCUCACUACAAUAAAUUAUAAUAAAAAAGUGAGACCAAAAACGUUUGGUGCGUUAUAAUUAUAAAGGGUAUCAUUGUUUUAUUAUAAUGAAGCACCCAAUUUUAUCUUUUUUUUCAUAAAUCAAUUAACCACUUUCUCUUAUAUAUUAAUAUAGGAAUGAUCAUAUGACUAAUUAGUUAUUUUUUAAUAAAAAAAACAGGAAGAUAUUAUGAAAAUGAAGUAUCUCAAUGUUGAUGCGUACAGAUUCUCUAUCUCAUGGCCACGAAUUAUACCAUGUAAGGAUGAUUGCUUUUCUUGUUUGUUCUUAUUUUGAGUAAAUAUUGCUACUCUUUGUUCAUCUAAAACAAAAUAAAUUAUUUUAUAAUAACAAAACUCCAUGUCCUAUAUUUUACUUGUGUAGUUAAGUACUUAUUCUCAAAAUUGUGUAUGCAGCUGGCAAGAGAAGUGACGGAGUUAAUCAAGAAGGAAUCAAAUUUUACCACGACCUCCUCGAUGAACUCAUUGAAAAUGGUAUAUAAUCUCGUUUUAUUAAAUUAGUAUCAAUGGUAUAUCUCCAUUUAUAAAAUCUCGUUAAUGCUAGUUAUAUUGUGUACGUAGGGAUCGAGCCUUUUGUCACAAUAUGGCAUUGGGAUACCCCUCAGGCUCUUGAAGCUGAGUAUGGUGGCUUUCUAAGCCGAGAUAUUAUGUAAGUUGCAUGUAUUUCUCCAAAUUAGUCGACUUCAGUUGAGUCUGUAUGGUUACUUAAUUCAUACAUCUUGAUCUUGUCUCGCUACGCAGAAAGGAUUUUGAGGAUUACUGUGACGUCUUGUUUCAAGAAUAUGGCUCAAAAGUAAAGAAAUGGAUAACUUUGAAUGAACCUAUGGGUAACGCAAUGAAAGCCUACGAUGAAGGGGUUUUCGCACCCGGACAUUGUUCUGUAUGGGUUGAUAGAGCAUGUAAACUUGGAGACUCUUCAACUGAACCUUAUAUUGUUUCCCAUCAUCAACUUCUUGCUCAUUCCGCUGCUUACCACUUAUACAAAAACAAAUAUCAGGUUUGUUGCAUUUUCCACUAGAUAUAUAGUUGCAGGCUAGUCAUGGUGCGAACCUAUACUUGUAUUUUUUUACUGUAUUAAUUUAUUCAUUUUUUUAUGGAAUAGAAUCUUACUGGAGAAAUAGGAAUAACCUAUGUCUCACAUUGGUUUCUUCCUUACUCUAAUACAACUGAAGAUAUUGAUGCUGCUCACAGAGCUCAGGAUUGGAUGUAUGGCUGGUGAGUAGCAUUUCUAUUAUCUCUCUAAAAACUAAUUUUUCAUUUAAACUAUUAGCUAAAAACUAAAUUGAUUAUUUCGGAUGUAGGUACAUGGAUCCAAUCACCUAUGGUUAUUACCCUAGAACAAUGGUGGAUUUAUUGGGAUCUCGUUUGCCCAAAUUUACACUAGAAGAAUCACGCUUGCUUAGAAAGUCAUACGACUUUUUAGGCAUCAAUUAUUACACUAGUUAUUUUGUGAAGAACAAUGAUAAAUUUGAUAAUGCUCAUCUUCGAUAUGCAACUGAUCACCACGGCAUUACUACACGUAUUAUAUUCAAUAUCUCAAUUAACUAGUUUCAUUAAUUUCAAAUAUGAGGCAAAGAAAUUGUCUAAUACGAAUUUUUUUUUAUUUUUUGUUUUCCCAUCAGCUGAUAGAGACGGAGUGUACAUUGGACCACAUGUAUGUGAUAACCUUGCUCAAAUAAUAUAUUAGUUACUUGUUAAUAAUAUGAAAUUAUAAUAUUGUAAUACAAACAAUUUAACUUUUGUUAACAUGCAGUUGGGUUCAUACUGGCAAUAUUUAUAUCCAGAUGGUUUACGAGCAUUGCUGAAGUACACUAAAGAAAAAUAUGAUAAUCCUGUCAUUUACAUAACUGAAAAUGGUACUUAAUUAUACUAAUCAAUCAUGUAAUGACGCAAAUAAAAUUCUUACUUAUUAAAGUUGAAUUAACUAUUUAACUAUGUAUGGUAUAAUUGAUGAUCAGGAUUAUCGGAGAAGGACAACGCUACACAGACACUUGAAGAGGCACUACAGGACAAGAUGAGGAUUGAUUUUUACAACAGCCAUCUUACAAGUGUUCUGCAAGCCAUCAAGUCAGUACAAAUAUAAUAAUAUUACGCAUGCUUUCCACGCACAGUUUAUUAUUCAUGUAACAAGAAACUCUGCAACCGAGCCUUACAUUGUUUCCCAUCAUCAACUUCUUGCUCAUUCCGCUGCUUACCACUUAUACAAAAACAAAUAUCAGGUUUGUUGCAUUUUCCACUAGAUAUAUAGUUGCAGGCUAGUCAUGGUGCGAACCUAUACUUGUAUUUUUUUACUGUAUUAAUUUAUUCAUUUUUUUAUGGAAUAGAAUCUUACUGGAGAAAUAGGAAUAACCUAUGUCUCACAUUGGUUUCUUCCUUACUCUAAUACAACUGAAGAUAUUGAUGCUGCUCACAGAGCUCAGGAUUGGAUGUAUGGCUGGUGAGUAGCAUUUCUAUUAUCUCUCUAAAAACUAAUUUUUCAUUUAAACUAUUAGCUAAAAACUAAAUUGAUUAUUUCGGAUGUAGGUACAUGGAUCCAAUCACCUAUGGUUAUUACCCUAGAACAAUGGUGGAUUUAUUGGGAUCUCGUUUGCCCAAAUUUACACUAGAAGAAUCACGCUUGCUUAGAAAGUCAUACGACUUUUUAGGCAUCAAUUAUUACACUAGUUAUUUUGUGAAGAACAAUGAUAAAUUUGAUAAUGCUCAUCUUCGAUAUGCAACUGAUCACCACGGCAUUACUACACGUAUUAUAUUCAAUAUCUCAAUUAACUAGUUUCAUUAAUUUCAAAUAUGAGGCAAAGAAAUUGUCUAAUACGAAUUUUUUUUUAUUUUUUGUUUUCCCAUCAGCUGAUAGAGACGGAGUGUACAUUGGACCACAUGUAUGUGAUAACCUUGCUCAAAUAAUAUAUUAGUUACUUGUUAAUAAUAUGAAAUUAUAAUAUUGUAAUACAAACAAUUUAACUUUUGUUAACAUGCAGUUGGGUUCAUACUGGCAAUAUUUAUAUCCAGAUGGUUUACGAGCAUUGCUGAAGUACACUAAAGAAAAAUAUGAUAAUCCUGUCAUUUACAUAACUGAAAAUGGUACUUAAUUAUACUAAUCAAUCAUGUAAUGACGCAAAUAAAAUUCUUACUUAUUAAAGUUGAAUUAACUAUUUAACUAUGUAUGGUAUAAUUGAUGAUCAGGAUUAUCGGAGAAGGACAACGCUACACAGACACUUGAAGAGGCACUACAGGACAAGAUGAGGAUUGAUUUUUACAACAGCCAUCUUACAAGUGUUCUGCAAGCCAUCAAGUCAGUACAAAUAUAAUAAUAUUACGCAUGCUUUCCACGCACAGUUUAUUAUUCAUGUAACAAGAAUUGUCGGAUUAUGCAUGCAGUGAAACACAGGUAAACGUAAAAGGGUUCUUUGCGUGGUCAUUCGCAGACAACUUCGAAUGGAACGAAGGGUACACAGUUAGGUUUGGGUUGUACUACGUUAACUACACCGAUCUCUCCAGACACCCAAAGGACUCAGCAUGCUGGUACACUAACUUCUGCAACAAGACCCAGCCGAAGACGAAGUACUUCUCUAACAAAUUUGAUCUUGAUCAGCUCAUCACCACACGUGCCGCUCCCGAAGGCCUCUCUCCUCUGCGGACCGUCUUUAAUAGUGUCAAUCAUCAAUCUUAAUUCUCAAGACCGAUGAUCUCUUACGUACAUAUUGUUACGUGCAUAUUGCAAGACAAAUGAGAGUACGUAACUAUUGUUACGAGAGAGACGAAAGGUGGCUUAUAUAUCAGUCUACAUUGAGCUGCGUUGUUUGCAAUUAGUAGUGGGAAUGAGAUCAUAUUGUAUUCUUGGGUUAUUCCCUUACGCGGUUUGCUUGCAUAGCUCAUUGUUGUUUGAUUUCUGGGUUGUAGGCUGAUAAGUAAUUAAGAACGAUGAUAUUUCCGCUACUGAACCGGUUGACGAUCUUGUGUUUUUCUUAUUUUAACUAAUGAUGCUUUGAGAUACUGCAGGUCCAUGUCAUCUUUCUAUGACCAUUUCGGUUCGUUUAGUGCUCGUCCCGAGUUUAGAUAAACCAGAAAGGUUCCAUCUUUGUGUAAUAGAACCUGCAAUAUAUUUCAUUCGAUGGGCAAGAAAGGAAAUAAUCAACUUUCUAGAUGGAUUCAAUUGACUCGUUUCGAAAGGAAUAGCACUGAGUAAACCAUUAUGGUUAUAUGGUUUAACCCAAUGAUCAUAUAAUUUUUUUUACAGCUAAAGGAUAAUACGAUUAACAAUAAAAAAGAUCUGGAAGUGGAGUUCCGUUGUUGACAUCGUUGGAACUCCACUUCCCAUGAAGGCAGUUACUAUUAAUAAUUUAAAAAUAAAAUAAAAAUUAAUUUUAUAUAGAGACUUAUGUUAUUUUUUAAUUUUACCAUUAGUCUUAUACUUUAAUUGAUUGAUCCCAGCCAUAUUAGACAUUCAUGAGACCUGGACCGAUGCACUCAUUCACAGUCAUUUAAAAAAAGUGUUCUCAAUUUCUAGUCAUCAUUACAGGGUUAAUUUCAUCAAUGAUACCAUAGGCGAGGACGAACAUUAGGGGGUUGAUUACAUUUUUGGUACCUUACUUAUUAAUAAGGUGUAUUUUGAUACUUUAUCUUUUGUUUAUAAUCAAAUGAUACUUUAUCUAUUAAAUUGUAACUAUGUGGUAUCUUCAUCCAUUAUUUCUUUAUCAAAAAACAUUCCAUCCAUUUUUUUCGUUAACUGUUGACGUGGAAGCCCAAUCACUUACCCGGUCAGCAAAUAUAAUAAAAAUUUGUAAUUUAUAUAGUAAUUACAUUUUUAACAAAAUAUAUGAUUUAAUGAAUUAUUUAGUUAAUAAAGGAGGCAGAGGCGAAGCUCGUGUUAGGUGAUGGUGACAAAAGGGGAGAUUGUGUUAGGUGAUGGUGGCGAAGGCGUAGAUCGUGAUAUGUGACGGCGGCGGAGGCAGACCUUGUGUUAGGUGAUGGCGUCGGAGGCAAGGUUCGUGUUAGAUGACGGCGACAGAGGCGACUGUUGUCGGGAUGUACCAGAAAAGAUGAAUGUGGCAUGGCGGGAGAAGGUGAAUGGUACGGAAAAAAGGAUUUUUAGGAAAAACUAAUAUAUUAACUAAAUAAAAAAUAUAUUUUUUUAAAAACUAAUUACUAUAUAAAUUACGAGUAUUUUUUAUUAUAUUUGUUGACUGGGAUGGGUGAUUGGACUUCCACAUCAAUAAUUUAUCGAACAAUGGAUAAAAAUUGAAUGGAGGUACCACAUAGUUACAAUUUAAUAAGUAUUAGGUUACAAAUAAAAGAUAAAGUACCAAAAUGUAUCUUUUUAAUAACUAAGGUACAAAUAUACAUUUUUGAUAGGUAACCGCUACUAUUUAUAAAAGGUAAAAUCCCCUCAGCUAUCAUAAAUUAUUUGAAAAAUAUAUUUUUAGCAUCGUACGUCGGAAACAGAGAAAUCAACAACUGACGAUGAGCUUGUGAGAGAGGAGAUCGACGUCGGAGCUAUGGAUGAGAUCGAGGAAGUGCUGGGUACGCCAUGGUGAGAGUUCUCUGUUGUGUUUUUUUUCUUGAGAUCAAAACUUUUUGAUCAAGGUGUUUUGGGGGACGAGGUGCAAAAAGAGUGGGAUUUGCAUAAUUCGUCCCGUUUAAAAGGGAAUGGGAAUGUCCAUUUUGGAUAGAAUUUGGGCUAAUUAAAAUUUUAAAAGUUUACGAUUUUGGAGUGAAAUUUCCAUACCGAAAACACGGAUUUGGUCCCAUCCAUGGGAAUUGAUCAGAUCCUGAGCCCAAAUUCAAUACAAAAAACGAUUGCUUAGUUAUCAUUAAUCUUUAUAAUUUUCGGUAAUCUCAAUUCUCGCGUCCAAACGGUCUCAUUAUCGUACCCCAGAUAUUAAUAACUCUCAUAGUACAAUAACUAAUGUGGAUUUACUUAAGACGAGAAUAGUCUAACACAGUGGCCCCUCCUAGUUUGAACAAAGUGGUAGAUUGGCAACAAAUUUUCAAACUUGCCGACUCAACUUGUUCCAUACGUACGUAGUACACCCACCAUGCAUUUAUAAUCCAAAGCCCCAUCAGACCAGAGAUCAAUUGUUAACGUGAAUAUAUCAGUAGCCACUGGCCACAUAUUUGGAUCUAAGACUCACCAUAUAUAAAAAGGAGGCACCCAUUCUUCUAAUUACACCAUUCAAGUAAGCUGCAGCCCUCAAACCAACACAAGACAAAAAAAACAUGGCGCUCAUGAUCACAAACUUGGCAGUUCUGUUCCUCGGAGCUUUACUAGCCAUAAGUACUAGUGCCACUCUUUCUAUGGGUGAUGAUGAUAAUGGCUAUGAGAGCCGUCUAGCCAUGAGGAAGGCGCCAAUACCAUCACCAAUUGUGCCUUAUUAUCCUACACCUCCAAGGAAAGUCGGGCCGCCGUUGCCGCCGAAGACGAAGGGGAAGCCUCACCAUAGCCAAUCUCCAAUUGUUCCCUACUUCCCCUUCUAUUACAUCCCAGCACCAUCACCGCUGCCUAAUAAUUAACUAAACAAGGAGGUGAGCCACCUGUUCAUGUACGUAGAACAUUUCCAAGGGAUGAAUAAAAUAAUAGUUUCAUAAGCCAUAUUUCCCGACUCGUCAUAUAUGAAUACAAGGAUGAAUUAGGUUCAGAUUAUUGUUUAAAAAGUUGUGUCUUAUAUAUAUAUUCUCGUGCAACUUUGCAAGUUAUUACUACAGUUUGAUCCUCUCUGUCCUAGCAGGUACGUUUUUCUGGACAACUAAGUGUUGAAUGCUGAUGAUUGAUGCAAUCAGUUAUGCAGUGUCUAAUUCCUUGUGCGCGGUUAUAUCAGUGUAGUUAGUAAAAUACGAUAUUGGUAUAAUACGAUAAUUAUACAUACAUGUAUAAUAUAACAAUUUUUUAGCAAUAGUACAAUAAAAAAGUCGGCGAUUAAAACGGCUAAUUGAAUUAGACGGAAAUAAGAAUUAUAUAUGCAUAAUACUUAUUUUAAUUUAAUAAACGUCAUUAAAAAUACGGAUAUAUCUUAUAAAAAAUUAUUAAAAAGUUGAUAGGACUUUGACAUAAAUAAAAUAUGAGUGAACUGAAAAGGGAAUCAAACUUUCAUAUUUUAUUUCAUAUAUACGGCUCAUGCGUCUUUAUACGCGCACUAAAUGGAUUCCAUUAUUUAAACGCGUAUUAGACGGCGGACAAACACAAAAAACGGGAAACGGAGUAAAAAACAGGGAUACGAAUUGUACGCGAAUAAGAUAGCGUUUUUUCCGUAUAAACUAACUAGACCGGACGUAGUCCGUAUUUUAUUUGGAGGUGAUGUCGAAUUCCCGACGAAGAUGAAGAACUAAGAUUGAGUAUCUCUUCGAGUAAGUUUUUUAUAUUUAAAUAAAUGUAAAGAUAAUUUUGUAACUUUUUAAAAUCUAAGGAGAUUAAUUUAACGUACGACGUCGAAUAACAAUAAGGGUAAACUCAAAUCCGGACCCAAAGCAAUCGCCACAUAUUUCGAAACCCCAAUCUCAGACAUUCUAUCUAGUUUUGACUCCUUUGACUAAUGUAAUAUUGUAGAUUGGAGUAGGUAGUCCAGCCAUUAUAUUAUUAUCAUUUUUCCUAAAAACAUCAAGCAACCACAACCUCCGACGAGGGUCCGCCGAUGGCGCAGCUCUCCAGAGGGUUUCUAGUGACUUUUUUGGCGAGUUUUCGCUAACUUUUUCAUAAGGUUUUUGUAAUAUAUUACAAUCGUUUGUAUCAAAUUACACGAAUAACAAGUUAGAAACGACUAAAAUCAGUUACAGACGAGUAUAACAUGUUAGUUGUGUAACACAGGGUAUACACAGAAUAGGUUUAAUAUUUUGCAACUGAUUAUCACCAUAUGUAACACGAUAUAAUCGCAUAUAACUAAUUACACGAAUACUAAUUAUAAUCGUCAAUAACUAGUUAUAAUCACCGACAAAAUACCAUUUGGAUCCGACCACCUUUGCCUAGUGGAUCUUGGCAGCUUACCUAGGACCUGGCUAUGCCCCUCGCCAUAAGACUCCCUUCUCACGGUAAGAAUGUUUGGGAGUCAUAAUUAUCAGCAAAUAACCAAACCAAUUACCACCACGUUACAAUGUCGGCAUGCAUUGCAAUUUGCAAGAUGUUGAUUGAUUUAGCUUAACUGUAAAAGACAGCGCAGCAUUAAUUAUCAUUCACGACUUAAUGAGCCCAACUCCAUUUCUUAGAGGGCAACAAAGCCAAGUCUCUUAUCUGCACCAAAUUUCCCAACUUUCCAACUAAUGGAGCAUUGAUUCCUCAACCAAUUCCAAUUUAACUCCCCACAGCGCAGCAUUACUAUAAAAAUAGGCAACGCUAUCUCUCCUUUCCAAACCACACUCCUACCGAAAGCAUAUCAGUCUAAUUAGCCUAAAAUGGAACUCAGCCACUUCCUACUUGUGCUUAUUGUGGCUCUAGCGGCUGCUAUAUCACUGACCACCGUUCCUUCCGAGGCUGCUGAGUUCGUCGAAGAGAAGCCCUUUUUCAAGAAGAAGCUGCCCAAGUUUGAUUAUCCUAAGCCAUACCAUUACCACCACCCACUCUUCAAGAAGCCGGUCGAUCCUUUCCACCACAAGCCGCUGAUUAAGCCGCUGCCCAAGAAGGUUUACCCCAAGUUCAAGUACCCUAAGUAUGGCCACUAUCACCCUGGACACCCUCCUGUCGAGAAACCCUGAUUAGUUGAUCAUCAAUCAAUCGUCAUAUUAUAUAUAUGAAUAUUGUUGGAGUGUAUGAAAUAAGUCGUUACACCGUCAUGUGUAUCAUGGUGUUUUUUUAUAUAUGUAUCAUCUUUCUAGCUGAUCGAUGCGUUUGAGAGUUGGCGUGUAGCCUGAAUACUGUGUGGCAUGUAUCAAUUUCCUGACUAUGGCAGGAUUGUAAGUUCAAUCAAAGUAUGUUUCUAUUUCCGCCACACUAUGAGUCUACUAUGCCUAGACUGUAGAGUACAUUCUUCUUGUGGGGAAUUUAAAGCCCAUAUUAUUGGAGUCCACAAUGAAAGCCCGUUGGUGACAAGUCCAUCGAGUCUUGAAAAAGUGAUGAUAGC
rnacentral:lncRNA from 1 species